rnacentral:lncRNA from 1 species
UUUUUUUUUUAAAAACCUGAAUCUUCUCGUAAAAAAGAAGAUAUAUUAUAUCUAAUCUCAGCGGAGGACAAAGACAUCGGGAGGAGGAAGGGAUCGAAUCUGGGCGGGAGGCACCAAAGCCAUGACUAUUGUGGAGCCAAAAAUAAUCAUAAGGUGACAUGUGGAUUUUUGGGUAAAAUGACAAAAAUACCCUUGAGGUGUACCAAGUUUCUACGCGCGAGCAGUAGACAAUCAUCCUCAACCAAGUCAAAAAUGCUCCAAAAAAGGUAACCAAUUCCAAAUUAUCUCAUCCAUCCUCAUUUUAGGUAAUUACUUCAUAACCUAUAAAUUGUUCCAUAUAAAUAGAGAUUAAUUGGCUAAUUAAUGAAUUAAUUCCUAAAUUCAUUAAUCAACCAAUUAAAUCACCAAUCAUACCCAAAAAAUACCUCUUUUGGCUGGUUACCCACUCCCCCAAAGGAACCGACCAUCUCCUUUUAUUUCCUACCUUUUCUACCAUAUCUUUCCUUUUUAUGAUAAUAAUUAGCUAAGAUAAAUAGGGAAUUAUUAGCUAAUUAUUUCAUAAAAUCCCAAUUACCACAAAAUAUCCCCAAAUAUGCACUAAAUGGCCAGCCAUCUAUUGCUAGAAAACGAAUUGGCCAUACUUUGCUUAUUCAUCCCAUUAAUUAGCUAAUUCAUUUGGUAAUAAUCCUUUUGCCUAUUUAAUUAGUCAAUUAAUCACAUAACUCCCAAAAUCAUAUUAAAUCAAGAACCCUAUCCCUAUAAAUAGACUCCUAUUUUCACCAAAAACGAAGGCCAACACUUUGGCAAUAAUCCCAAAAUUCUCUAAACACUCUUUCUCUCUAAAUUCUAACUUUGGCAUCGGAGGGUCUUCGGCCAAAGCCCCCCCAUUGAUCGUGGGCGCGUGAGGCUCUUGGCCUUAACCUAAGGUGUUAAUUGUUUUGUAGGUGAAAAAUUGUCUAAGAUCAAGGAGGAAGAAAUUUGCAUCCACAAAUUGGUGCUUUCAUUGAGAGUUGAAAUCCAUACUCGUAGAAGACUCUCGCACAAAAAGGUUUUUUCUUUAUUUUUUAGUCCAUUUGAAUAUUUUUUUAUACGUUCUUAUUAUUAGAAUUUUUUUACUUGCAAAGGUUCUUUGAUAAAACGUAUAAGCAAAAUAUAAUGGCUAGAAAUAUAGAAAAUUCCACAAGUGAAAAUUCUAAUAAUCAAGAAAUGGGAUUUCGGAGAUCCGUAAGGCUAAAUGCGACAAUAAAUGGAGUGGCACCACCACCACGAGUUUCCACCAUGGGAACCACCACGGUGGCGAGGUCCAUGGUGCCUUCACCACGGCCCGAGUCGUGCCAUCUAAGGCUCACGGCACCAAGGCCACGACCCAAGCCAUGUCACUCCAAGCCCAACGCGUUGCCAAGCCAAGCCCAAGUCUCGCACCUAUGUGUAUCACACUCCGAGCAGCUUGCUCCCACCGAGCAGCCCACUCUCGCGGCCCAACCUGCUCUUGUGGCCCAGCCUGCUCCCGACGAGUAGCCCACUCCCGUGGUCCAGCAUGCUCAUGCCGAGCAGCCCACUCUCAUAGCCCAGCCUGCUCUCAUGGCCCAACCUGCUCUCGUGGCCCAGCCUGCUCUCGUGGUCCAGCCUACUCCCGUCGAGCAGCCCACUCUCGCAGCCUAGCCUGCUAUCAUGGCCCAGCCUGCUCCCACGGCCCAGUCUGCUCCCGUGGAUUUCCAAGCAGCCCAAGUUGGCCCAAGACUAUCUCAACUAUCCGGACCUACCAUCGAGCCGGGGGCAUUCUCACCACAUUUUUUUGCGGAUUUGACAUUUCCCAACUCAAAUCUCUCGCCCGGAGUCUACCACCCUUCCACUGCCCAAGGAGGCGCAUUCCUUCAAAGCUCUUCCAAUCCAAAUGGCGAACAACACUUGUCUCGACAAGUCAUAGAGUUGACGAGUGCCCUUGCACAACAGACGACCUUGGUGAAUCAACUUUUGCAACGCAUCGGGAUCCAACGUGCCCCAGACGAGGUAUCCCGAAGUAGGACAAGGGCAGACUAACCUUUCCAGCAGCGUCCUGGCAAGCAGCCACUCGACCAGCCAUGAGCCGAGCGUUCGGGCAGUGUACAUUCCCGAUUGGGCCCCCGAGAUAGUGUAUACUCCCGUCUUAGCGCGUGGAGGAGCGUGCACUCUCGACUAGGCCCACGGAUGAGCAUACAUUCAUGGUUGGGGUCACACUCCGAUAGUCAACAUGAGCAACCUUCCGGGCAAAGUGUUCAUUCACGGCUAAGCCCGCAAGGAGCAUCCUCCACCUCACAUCGGAGUAGGCAGCACGACGGACGAAGAGAAGCAGUCACUCAAUCCAGCUUAAGUUCAACCAGCAGUCUGUGAAGAACUCGCUCGCCUACUAGAAACGCACCACAUGCACUGCAUCCGUGGUAUAGAUGAGCCAAACACAUGGAAGAGUAGCCUAGACCAGCAAGUCAUGGCUGGGGGCAGCCGAGAGCUCCGCUACCUCAACAAAGGCAAAUUCAGGAAGAAGUAGAGAGACUCUUGACCAAACGAUUGCAUGAUUUCCAACGCAACGAGGUCACCGACGAGGCACUACAACGGAACAUGACCAACAUAAGUAGGUUACCCUUCACGGACGAGAUCAAGCAGGCAAAGCCUCCACGCGAGUUUAACAUGUGACAUUUCACAUCUUUCAAAGGGGAUGAAGACCCGGAUAGACACUUAAAGCGCUACUGAAACGCAAUGAUCCUUUAUCGAAACAACAAUGAUCUCAUGUGCAAGAUAUUCGCCACCACUCUACAAAGCGAGGCGCAAGAUUGGUUUUACACCCUGCCACCACAAUCCUUCCGAAAUUUCUACGAACUUUUUUUGUUUUCACCAAAGAAUAUUCAUCUUAUUGCUCGAUAAAAAAGAAGUCUGGCCAUUUGUUCGACGUCAAGAAGAAUCUAAAGGAGUCGCUUCGUAACUAUGUAAGGAGGUUCAAAGUAAAGAAGGCAAAAAUAAUCGGAUGCAACGAUUCAAUAGCUAGAGCAGCCUUCCAAAAAGGACUUCCAGCUGACCACCCACAACAACAACAACAACAACAACAAAGCCUUUUCCCACUAAGUGGGGUCGGCUAUAUGAAUCCUAGAACGCCAUUGCGCUCGGUUUUGUGUCAUGUCCUCCGUUCGAUCCAAGUACUCUAAGUCUUUUCUUAGAGUCUCUUCUAAAGUUUUCCUAGGUCUUCCUCUACCCCUUCGGCCCUGAACCUCUGUCCCGUAGUCACAUCUUCGAACCGGAGCGUCAGUCGGCCUUCUUUGCCCAUGUCCAAAUCACCGGAACCGAUUUUCUCUCAUCUUUCCUUCAAUUUCGGCUACUCCUACUUUACCUCGGAUAUCCUCAUGCCCAAUCUUAUCCUUUCUCUCGUGUGCCCACACAUCCCACGAAGCAUCCUCAUCUCCGCUACACCCAUUUUGUGUACGUGUUGAUGCUUCACCGUCCAACAUUCUGUGCCAUACAACAUCGUUGGCCUUAUUGUCGUCCUAUAAAAUUUUCCCUUGAGCUUCAGUGGCCUACGACGGUCACAUAACACGCCGGAUGCACUCUUACACUUCAUCCGUCCAGGUCGUAUUCUAUGGUUGAAAUCUCCAUCUAAUUCUCCGUUCUCUUGCAAGAUAGAUCCUAGGCAGCAAAAAACGGUCGCUUUUUGUGAUCUUCGCUAGAUUUGCUCCGGUCAUUAGUGUGGAUAAGUAUAUAAAUGAAUAGAGAUAGGAAAGCAAACACAAGAUGUACGUGGUUCACCCAGAUUGGCUACGUCCACGGAAUAGAAAGAGUUCUCAUUAAUUGUGAAGGGUUUACACAAGUACAUAGGUUCAAGCUCUCCUUUAGUGAGUACAAGUGAAUGAUUUAGUACAAAUGACAUUAGGAAAUAUUGUGGGAGAAUGAUCUCGUAACCACGAAACUUCUAAGUACCGGAGUGUGGUAUCGUCUUGACUUGCCUUAUCUGUCUCAUAGGUAGAUGUGGCAUCUUCUCUCUCUGGAAGUACUCUUCCUCCAUCCAGGGGUGGUAUCUGUAACUGGUGGAGAUGCACAAGGUAAUGUAUCAAUUUCACUUGAAGCUUACUUGUAGUUUCAGGCUUGGUCAAGCGCGAUACAAACCAUGUAGUAGGAGUCCCCCAAGUCGCCGGGCUAGGGGAUCUGCUGAAAGAGGUGACAGACAAGGUAAGCAAUCAGAGCUCCGGCUGAUUGUUCACCUUCUCCCCAUCUUGCAGCAGCAUGAAGGAUAAAGAGAAGAAAGAUGAGAAGAGAUGAUAUGGGAUACUUUUGCUUUUGAAGAAGUAACUUUCCACAGGCUUAUUCUUGAACUGAGCUGGAGGGUUUUCUGGUUUUCCUCCAGAGCCGACUGAAGAAUUUGAGGGUCAAAACAAGUCCAUCAAAUCUAGAGUACGUUCGACCCUGCUGAUAUGGGAUACUUUUGCUUUUGACAGAGUAAUGGAUGUAUCGGCACGUGUGCUGUUACGCUUGUCUCCACAUGCUUCCUUGUAUCCUUCGCACUUGCCCUAUCUGUUCCUCAAGCAGAUGCGGUAUCUUCCCUGGAAACAUAAGAUGUUGAAGAUGAGUACUCGAGAGCAAUGCCAGGUAAGUAAUCAGGUAAGGGGUUCCAGGCAGUCAGUUCCUGGCUGGAAGCUUGAUUCCAAGUGCUGACUGAUUGCUCUCUUUCUCCUUGUCUUGCAGGUAACAAACAAGGCCAAAGGAAAAGACAGGGAAAAAGCAUGAUAUGGGAUACUCUUGCUUUUAACCCUGAUGAUAUGAGAUAUUCUUGCUCUAGUAUAGCUUGUUUGCAAAGGUAUUAUCGGGGGGAAAGAAAGCUGAAUAUUUCGAAAGGCUUCGUUGGGAGUGCCCUCUCAAAUAUGAGGAAGGGUUGAACAUUUUUGCAGGUCUGCCUGUCCGUUGGGGAUGGAGGUCGACAUAUAUAGGAGUCUCCCUAACAACAAGUAGUAAUGCUAUUCCUUUACCCUGCUUGGUCAUAGCACGGUAGUGGGAGCUGCCAGCUUCACAUGUUUUAACUCUGUCAGAGCACUUUGAAAAAGUGGUCUGUGCUCUCGAGAAGUCUUCGACAGAAUGCCUAUAAUUUCCGCAAGGUGAUCGGAUGAUAUUUAUAUAUAUUUUUACUUUGAAUUCACUCGUCUUUUCUUAGUUAGUUCCUUAUAUUUUUGAGCUAUUUACGUUAUUUUUGUGUUUAUAGGAUUUGUUAUGCAAAGAAAAUAAAAAUAGAACAAGUGAAAUUUUAUGUAAUAAAUUCGUCAAAACUGUCUGUGUAGAUCAGCUUUUAAAUUAAAUUAAAAAUUAUAUUUAAUAAUGAUAAGUCGUGAUGAUGUUUGAAACAUCAUCAUGAUGGUUUUGUUUUGUAGAAAAAAAAAAAAGAAAGAAAACGGUGGAAAGAAAGAGUUGGACAAAGAAAGGAAAGAAUCCAAGGCAAAAGAGGAGUAGAUGCGGGGAGGACUGGAAAACAGAGAAAGCAAACGGGACAGCCAAGAGAAGUGGGGAUGGCAAAAUAAAAGAAUAAUAAAAUAAAGAAAAAGGACUGUCAGAUGGAAGGAGGGAAGAGGAUUGGGAGCUGCCUUUGACAGCUAAGAGGUCAGCCGCUGGGUCCAGCUCUCGCCACUUGCGACGAGCCCCAUGAUUCUUUUCUUGGAUCCAGAGGAUGUGAAAAGUAAAGCUUGAGGAGAGAGCUGAGCAGGGGGGCAGCGUGAGACAAAGAGGAAAAUAAAAUAAGAGCUGCGGGGAGGAAAAAAGGGGAGAGUCCGGAGGAAAGCUGCCAUUUGGCAGCUUGAGCAGGGGGAGAGCAGAAACCUGCUUUUGGGCUGGCGUGAUUAAGGGGGUCGGGGGAGCGGAAGAAAGGGGCUGCCCUUUGGGCAGCUCGCAGGAACGUGCAGGGCGUGACAGGAAAGGUGAGGCAAGCAAGGGAGAUAGGCAGAGAGAAGGGGAGAGGCGCAGGAAGAGUGGGAAGAGAAGAGACUGGCAGCGUGCAGGGGAAGAGAAGACGGGACAGCAGAAAAAGCACAAAGGCUUGCCAGCGCAGAAACGCAGGGAGAGGGAAGUCAGGGAGUGAAGAAAGCUGCAAGCUGUUCUCUCUCUCGGUUUAAACUUUUCAAACUUCUAUUUUAUUUCUGUUUAAUAAUGUGUAAUUAAUUUUAUUUUGGCUAGAGGUUAAUUCGAAACCAUGAAUAUAUUUGUAAUAUGAAUUGAUUACCUUCGGUUGUGAUUUCAUAAGUUGUGUUUUCAAUUUACUUAUCCGUUCGUAUAAAAACUGAUUUGUGUAUGUUGGUUGAGAGUGCACGCUUAAUUUACAUGCAUGAAUUUGAUGCUAGAAUAUAAGUGAAUUUCACCUAAUCGUUAUGAACUUAUUUUCACAAGUAGUAAAGGUUGCUAGUCACAAUCACGUUAAGUAAAUUCUUGGCAAGAGUAUCAUGCUUUUCAUAGUUACGAAUGUCUCGUCAAUGCUUAUAGUUUUCACAAAGUUUAAUGAUCUUUGAUUGUAUCGCUAUUGUGCUUUUCACGUAGGGGACUUUUGAAGAAUGUUUUGAAUUGUUGUAUGCGUUUUUCCGUCCAAUUCAAUAACUUAAGGAAAACUUGAAGAUUAAAAAAGUGCUGUUCACGGUUAAUCUGGAGUAUUGAGAUUCACAAUUUAUUGAAAGAACAACUGAAAAUCAAUUUAGGUUGCAUAUGUGUCAUGUGUGGAGAAGAACCCUCUAGCUAGUCCGUCAUUUAUCUUUUCAUUUUAAUUUCAUGUUUUUGUAAAUUCUGUAAUUUAUUUAAGUUUAAUUUACUUUUCAUCAAAAUCAAACCCUCCCAUUAUUAAAUUAUUUUAUUUAGUUAGUUUUCAUUGUUUUUAGUCUUUUAAUUCAAUUUCCGUCCAUUUCAGUUCCUAGUGUUUAAUUUAAUUGUUUUCAUUAUUUUGAGUCAUUUUAAGUGUGUUUCGAGUUAUUAGAGUUUUUAGCCUAAUUUUAUGUCCUUGAGUCUUAUUUAAUAUUUUUAAAUUAAUUUAGAAUAGAUUAGCAAUCCCUCCUAAUCCCCGGCCUAGAACGAUACCCUACUUACAUCUAUACUACAAUUGUCAAAAAGAGGGUUUAAUUUGUGUGUCAAGUAAUUCUCGCAUCACAAAGCUGAGUGUGCGUGUGACAGGUGCUGACAAGGCUAGAAAAGUAGGUGCCUCUUCGAUUUCUGAGAUCGGCCCUCGUGGUCUCUGAGCAGCCCAGCUUUUGAGAAAGCGAGCGUCUCUUCGAUUGAUUCGGAGAACGAUGCAUCUUCGAUUUUUAAGAAAGCAAUCAUGAUGGGGGUCUGGCUCUCGAGAUUCGGGGAGCAAUGUCACUUCGAUUUUUGAGAAAGUAAUCAUGUUGGGAGUCUGGCUCUCGAGAUUCGGAGGGCGGUGCCUCUUCGAUUUUGGAGCAAGCAAUCUUGUUGGGAGUGUUUUCUCGAAUGUGAGUAAAGGUUGGGCAUGUUUGCUAGUCUACCUUGCCACGAAGCACAGAGGUUGACACACAGGGAUUUUCCAAUUAUCCAGCAAUGGUACUGUUCCUUUACCCUCUCUUCGAUUUUUGAGAAAGUAGUCAUGUUGGGAGUCUGGCUCUCGAGAUUCGGAGGACGGUGCCUCUUCGAUUUUGGAGCAAGCAAUCUUAUUGGUAGUGUUUUCUCGAGUGUGAGUAAAGGUUGGGCAUGUUUACUAGUCUACCUUGCCACGAAGCACAGAGGUUGACACACAGGGACUUUCCAAUUAUCCAGCAGUGGUACUGUUCCUUUACCCUUGUGGGUAAUAAUAUGGUAGCUAGACCUUCAAAAUUUAUGGGUCUAAACUUUGUUAGUGCUGUUUCUUUGCUAUUCUUUUACCUUUCUUGGUCAGAGCGAUGUAGUGGGAGCUGCAAGCUUUACGUGCUCAAUUUUGGAAGAGAACUUUGGCAAAGUUAUCUGUGGUACCCAUGAGCUAGUGUUGCGUGUGGGAAGUGGGUGAUUGAACAGUAAGAUUCAUGUGUUUUCUACUUCCUCAGAAGUCUUCGACAGAAUGGCCAUAAUUUCCGCAAAGCUGAGUGUGCGUGUGACAGGUGCUAACAAGGCUGGAAAAGUAGGUGCCUCUUCGAUUUCUGAGAUCGGCCCUCGUGGUCUCUGAGGAGCCCAGCUUUUGAGAAAGCGAGCGCCUCUUCGAUUUCUGAGAUCGGCCUUCGUGGUCUUUGAGCAGCCUAACUUUUGAGAAAGCAAACGCCUCUUCGAUUUCUGAGAUCAACCCUCGUGGUCUCUAAGCAGCCCAGCUUUUGAGAAAGCAAACGCCUCUUCGAUUUCUGAGCAGGCGCCUCUUCGAUCUCUGAAGAUCCGUCGAGUGCAGAUUUUUAUAAGGGCUGGCAUUAAGUUCCAAAGCACACUUGAAUCUCCACCAGUAGAAGCUCCAUUCUUGCACUUCUAAGAUCUUGAUUUGUCCAACCUCUUCUCUCUUCAACACCUUUGAAAAUGUCUGGCCCCUCCGACCGUCGUUUUGACUUGAACCUUGUUGAAGAGGCAGCCCCGCCUUCUCCAGACAACAUAUGGCGCCCAUCCUUCGUCUCCCCUACUGGUCCUCUUACCGUUGGGGAUUCCGUGAUGAAGAAUGAUAUGACUGCUGCGGUGGUGGCCAGGAACCUUCUCACUCCCAAAGAUAACAGACUACUUUCCAAACGGUCUGAUGAGUUAGCUGUUAAGGAUUCGCUGGCUCUCAGUGUUCAGUGUGCAGGUUCUGUGUCUAAUAUGGCCCAACGCCUAUUUGCUCGAACCCGCCAAGUUGAAUCAUUGGCGGCUGAGGUGAUGAGUCUCAAACAGGAGAUUAGAGGGCUCAAGCAUGAGAAUAAACAGUUGCACCGGCUCGCACAUGACUAUGCUACAAACAUGAAGAGGAAGCUUGACCAGAUGAAGGAAACUGAUGGUCAGGUUUUACUUGAUCAUCAGAGAUUUGUGGGUUUGUUCCAAAGGCAUUUAUUGCCUUCGUCUUCUGGGGCUGUACCGCGUAAUGAAGCUCCAAAUAAUCAACCUCUGAUGCCUCCUCCUUCUAGGGUUCUGUCCAGUACUGAGGUUCCGAAUGAUCCCCUUCCGGUGCCUUCUCUUUCUGGGGCUCUACCGACUGCUGAGACUUCUCCUAAGCAACCCUUGUGAAGGCUCCCUCUUGUUUGUUUAUUUUGACUCAUGUAUAUGUACACAUUUGUAGCUUAUCGGGGAUAUCAAUAAAUAAGUUUUCCUUCAUUUCAACGUAUUGUGUUAAAUACACCAAAACCUUCUUCGCUAAGUUCUUUGAAUUUUCUUUUGUUGAAGCUUGUAUGUUGAAGCUUUCUGAGUGGAGCAUGUAGGUUGGGGUAGUGUUCCUUUAAUUUCCCGAGUGAGGAAAACUUCUCGAUUGGAGACUUGGAAAAUCCAAGUCACUGAGUGGGAUCGGCUAUAUGAAUCUUAGAACGCCAUUGUGCUCGGUCCUGUGUCAUGUCCUUCGUUAGAUCCAAGUACUCUAAGUCUUUUCUUAGAGUCUCUUCCAAAGUUUUCCUAGGUCUUCCUCUACCCCUUCGGCCCUGAACCUCUGUCCCAUAGUCGCAUCUUCUAAUCGGAGCGUCAGUAGGCCUUCGUUGCACAUGUCCAAACCACCGUAACCGAUUUUCUCUCAUCUUGCCUUCAAUUUCGGCUACUCCUACUUUACCCCGGAUAUCCUCAUUCUUAAUCUUAUCCUUUCUCGUGUGCCCACACAUCCAACGAAGCAUCCUCAUCUCCGCUACACCCAUUUUGUGUAUGUGUUGAUGCUUCACCGCCCAACAUUCUAUGCCAUACAGCAUCGCUGGCCUUAUUGCCGUCCUAUAAAAUUUUCCCUUGAGCUUCAGUGGCAUACGGCGGUCACACAACACGCGCCGGAUGCACUCUUCCACUUCAUCCAUCCAGCUUGUAUUCUAUGGUUGAGAUCUCCAUCUAAUUCUCCGUUCUUUUGCAAGAUAGAUCCUAGGUAACGAAAACGGUCGCUCUUUGGUAUUUCUUGAUCUCCGAUCCUCACCCCUAACUCGUUUUGGCCUCCAUUUGCACUGAACUUGCACUCCAUAUAUUCUGUCUUUGAUCGGCUUAGGCGAAGACCUUUAGAUUCCAACACUUCUCUCCAAAGGUUAAGCUUUGCAUUUACCCCUUCCUGAGUUUCAUCUAUCAACACUAUAUCGUCUGCGAAAAGCAUACACCAAGGAAUAUCAUCUUGAAUAUGUCCUGUUAACUCAUCCAUUACCAACGCAAAAAGGUAAUACUCUUUCGCUCUGGCAGAGAAGCAUGCACUUUGGGACGAAGUUCGCCGAUGCCCAUUUAAGGAAAAUCCAAGCAAUCUUGAAUAUGAAGUUCCCCACUACUCUAAAGGAGAUUCAAAGUCUGACUGGAUGAGUAGUCGCAUUUGAAGCAUAAAUAAGCUCUACCAUCAUACAAGAAGAGCUGGGGGCCCGACUACCUAUAUUCCAGUUUAAAAGCUCUCCUCGAUGUUAUCAGUUGUAUUCCACAGUUUAAAAGCUCUCAUUGAUGUUAUCAGAAAUUCAAAAGCUAACUUUAGCGAUAGUUGUUGUAACCUAAAAGCUUAAGUUUUACCCUCAAACGCACGCAGUCAUCAUCAUGAUGCACUAUUCCACCGAAUCCUGACGAACGCAACAACUAGGCCCAAAAGACAUGCCAAGGGUAGACGAACACUGGAAGGAACAUUUAAAAGCAAGUUUUUUCCUCGUCGCCCCAGAAGAUUCUACAUAAAAGCAACAUGUACCGACAGUUGAGCACUACCUCCUGCUACGCGUGACACGGCCCUAGCCAACCUUUGCUCCAUUAUUCAGCUCUAGAGUGGUCCAAUACCGAAAAUUGAGCAUUUCCUGCUACAUGUAACAUGGCCCCAGCCCCACGGCUCCGUACCACGCAUUCACACCUAGCCUUGACAACACAACAGAGUGGCCCAAUUGCUCCCCGAAGGCAGCCGAGCACACUUUAGCAGCACCUGCUCCCUCAAUGGAGAUUUCUGGCAUUUGCAUGUCAAUGACGUAAUACCUAAAGAAAGUACGCAAGCAGCUUGAGGCAUUUCAGACUUAAACUCUCACUCAAGUUCCCCGGGCAGACAAUGCCCAUGCAAACGUACUAGUCGGCCUAGGCUCCGCACUCGAUCACCAACUCAAAACGCUCUAUUCUGGUGGAAUAUCUUGACAAGCCAAGCAUAGAGAUGGAGCCAACAACCCAAGUGUCAUAGCAUUUUCAUCCAAAGAUCCCACACCGGAUCACAUAUCCGCUGCCUAGCGCCUCCCGACAACUUGAAAGUUCUAAGAUCAAAUCCACGAAGGUGUAUAUGGAAACCACUUUGGAGGCCAAUCCUUAGUAUAGAAGGCUCUUAACGCAGGCUACUAUUGGCCUACCAUGCACCAAGAUGCUAAGGAGUUAGUACAAAAGUGCCUUAAGAAUAUGGCAUCUAGUAGCACAUGUCCACACCGAGAUAUCCACAAGGCAAUGGGUAGGCCGGAGUAUCCAACAAGACGAUCCUCGACUGCCUCAAGAAAUCCCUGACCAAUAAGAAAGGAAAAUGGCUAAACGAACUCUUCGGUUGUCUAUGGGCAUAUCGCACCACCAAAAGACGAACAACCGAAUGGUAAGGAGAUGACCACAAGUUUAGAUCUGGCAGAGGAGAAGCGUGAGUAGACCAUCACUUGAAUAGUAACCUACCAGCAGCAACUCCUCCCCAGCUACAACAAAACCCGAAGACUCAAGAAGCUCGACGGGUACCACCUCACAAGCCGAGGAUUAUCCAGUUGUUAUGCAGUUCCUACCUUACAGCUAAGUUCUUGUUCGUUUCACUCAUUUUUUUAAUGAGGAAUUCAUAAGUAAUCACAACUUGGCUCGGCUACAUGCUUACAACAACUGAUCACUCCUGCACUUCAAAAGAAGACUGCGCCCUACUUAGGGACUCAUCGCAGGAAUUGCGCCCCCCGAGGGACCAACCAUGCUCUCCAGUGUGAGAGGGUAAACUAAUUGCUCUCCAGUGCAAAAGGGUAAACCAAUUCCCCGACACCCAUAUAGGUCAGCUCUCCAAGACGGGAGGAUAAACUUUACACUCCGAAUAUCCAGACGUGGAUGAGCCUGGCUGCCCUAGUAUAACUAGAUGCACGAUGGCUUGCGCCGGGAUUCCUAGAAGUAGCUACAAUGGUUUUUUUCAAGGCUUAGCUAACUGAAGGAUUUUGGGUCUCUUGGCCUAAUCCGUAGGGAACCGGACCCCAGAGACGGAGAGGACGCAUUAUGUAGUACGCCUUACAGACGGCUGCCCUGGAACCCUAAAGUUGCUACCGAGUACGCUAAGGUAGCCUACGGAUUCUGGAAGACUGCCUACGGCUUGCCCUUCGAGCAAUAAAACUGCGCUAGACUUAUAUAACCUCACAUUCUUGUGAAAGGUUAAACAAGCUAGCGCACAUAUACGAAAUUUUAUCCACUGCCGACAUGCUAUGUAGUCGAUAAGCUUCACCUCUGCCAAGCGCGGAACAACCUACACCAAGUCCUAAAGUGUUGUGAUACUUGCUACGCAACCUACGGAAUUGGAGAAAGCCAAGGUUAACAGCCUAGUGGUUACGCGGACUUGUCUGCUUCUGUAAGUAAGGUAUCCGGUUGCCAACCCUAUGGCUAAUAACCUUGCAAAGUUCUACACCAACACCUACGGCUGCAUAGACUACGCGGGCUUGUCUGCUUAUAAAAAAAUAGCAUGCCUGCCACUGGUCUAUCAAGUCUAAAGGUUAAGGCAUGAACAAAAGAAGCGAAGAUGAAGAAAAGCGAAGGAAAACAUAUUUAUAAACAACUAGCAAAGGCCGAAGAAGUUCAAGCAAAACAAGAGCUACAAGGAAAACAAAGAAAAUCAUAAAGGCUACCUAGAAUACUAAACUACAGCAACUUGGACAUCCCAUGACUACUCGGUCGCCACACCUUCAGCAGCCGUAACGCUCUUAGCAGCGGCAUCAUCCGGCGCUUCACCCCCGGCUGCCCCAGCCUCGGCACUAACUUCUCCAACUACUUCACCAAUGGAAGCCUCAAAAGUAAAAGCAAGCAAGUCUUCCAGAGAAAUAGAGAAGGUCUUGAAACCUCAAGCCCAUCAUUCUCACCCUUCAGCUGCUCAUUUCUUCUCAAGCAGACUAACACGGACGCGCUGCAGCUCAUCCACUCCCUUCUUAGCAUAAGCAGCAAUCAACUUUUCAUCAUUUGCAUAAGCAGCGAAACGAAGCUUAGAAACUGCAAACUCAAGAUCUUGAAUCUAAGGUAUUGUAACAUUUAAUCUCAUUUUCUAUACUUUCAUGCUUAACUUGGAUCACGUCAAGUUUAGUCUUCAAGUCAACGAUCUCUUGGCAAGCGGUCUCAAGCUACAAAGAAGUGGGGGCAGAAAUAUUAGACCCUUUCAAAGCAACGAGCUCAGAAUCUUCCAUAGUAUUUGCCAUUUCCUUAGCAGCCUUGCUAUAUCUGCAUCAUAGCAAGCAGAGCAGUCCUUCUAUAUUGGGUCGUAUGCUUCGCAAACGAGUUUGGGCAAACAACCUUUCUGACGCCAUCAACAAACUUAGCACAAGCGUUCAUGUUUUCAAGAGAUCUGGUUUCAAAAGCACAUAAAUCUCAGCAGCCUCCCUUGAAGCAGGCUUAGUGGAUUUCUCACAGCUGCCUACGCGAGCAGUCUCCUCAUUCCCAGCAGGCGAAUCAGUCUCAGCAGCAUAAGGAAUUGGCCUUGGUGCCACAUUAGCAGCAGAGUCCUCCUUAUCGCUUUUCAUAAUAGCAAGCCUCUCCGAAGGUGAACUAAACUUAGCUCCCAACAGACGUCUUGGUAUAAAAUUCGGCACUAGGGGCAUGACAGGACCUUUAUGCCGAACAAUCAUAUCAGCAAUCAUACUAGCCAUUCUUGACAUGGCAGGCGCCACAUGCUCAGAUCUAGCAGCCUCAUUUUUCAUCCCCUUGGAAAAAGUCAAGUCAAUCACAAGCCUGGAGGCAGUUGAUGAACCCGCGCGAGCAGCGAAAGAAGUCUUUCAUUUUUUUUUUCUCAACCGGCAUCUCUUGAGCAGGCAAGGAAGAUCCAUUUUCCCACCUUCAUUUAUAGCAGGAUCCACAACAGUGAUUGGACAAGCCAAUGCAUCUGCCUUGAUCUUAUUCACCUCCUCUUUUAGGAGCAGCCCACGUUUCUCCUGACGAAAAAGAGUUAAAGUAGCCAACGCUAUUCGUGGUACCUAGCAGGGGAGUUCAACCCAACAUUCUAGCAGCUCAUGAGGUUCGCAACCUCUUCAUUUCUCUCAAUCACCGGCCUAGCUUGCGUCAUGUUCAAAAACCUAAAAGGACAUGAGCCAUGUGACUCGCCUAGCACUGCGCCCCAUCGCCACAAUCCGCGACCCUAGCCACACAAGCUGCCCUUGGUUCUAGCCAAGUCAAGCAGCUUAAAGCAGUGGUCCCUGCCACAAUACCUCCUCGGCCUAUGUCGAGCCGACUCCUGGCCCAUGCCAGCCGACAUGCUGCACCACCCCGACGGCUGCCCCGUGGUAGCACCAUCCAAGAAGAAGACAUGGAAAAUUAAUUUUUUCUUACCUCAGUGCGGCACGAAAAAGACAAAGAAAUCAACGAAAGAUGGUCUUUUGCACGGGCAAGAUGUAGAAGAUUGCUAGAGGAGGGGGAACAAAUAUCCUCUAAGUUAUCUCUCUCUUGUAGGGUAGAAUAAAUCGCUCUCCAAAGUUGAUUUAAUAACCCACUUAAGGUGGACUUAAAUAGGCUUUGAGAGAAAUUUAUUUCCCUUUCCUAGAAGGAUCUAAUUUCCUAUUAAAGAGAGAAUCUACAUCAAAAUAGGAAGCAGUCUUAAGUUUCCUAAAGCAAGAAGAUCUCUACACCUGCUGCCCUUUUCUACAAGCAGCCCAACAGGUGUGGGGGCAUUUGUGGAGCCAAAAAUAAUCACAAGGUAACACGUGGAUUUUUAGGUAAAAGGACAAAAAUACCCUUAAGGUGUACCAAAUUUCUACGCACGAGCAGUAGACAAUCAUCCUCAACCAAUUCAAAAAUGCUCCAAAAAAGGUAACCAAUUCCAAAUUAUCUCAUCCAUCCUCAUUUUAGGUAAUUACUUCAUAACCUAUAAAUUGUUCCAUAUAAAUAGAGAUUAAUUGGCUAAUUAAUGAAAUUCAUUAAUCAACCAAUUAAAUCACCAAUCACACCCAAAAAAUGCCUCUUUUGGCCAGUUACCCACUCCCCCAAAGGAACCGGCCAUCUCCUUUUAUUUCCUACCUUUUCUACCAUAUCUUUCCUUUUUAUGAUAAUAAUUAACUAAGAUAAAUAGGGAAUUGUUAGCUAAUUAUUUCAUAAAAUCCCAAUUACCACAAAAUAUCCCCAAAUAUGCACUAAAUGGCCAGCCAUCUAUUGCUAGAAAACGAAUUGGCCAUACUUUGCUUAUUCAUCCCAUUAAUUAGCUAAUUCAUUUGGUAAUAAUCCUUUUGCCAAAUUAAUUAGUCAAUUAAUCACAUAACUCCCAAAAUCAUAUUAAAUCAAGAACCCUAUCCCUAUAAAUAGGCUCCUAUUUUCACCAAAAACUAAGGCCAACACUUUGGCAAAAAUCCCAAAAUUAUCUACACACUCUUUCUCUCUAAAUUCUAACUUUGGCAUCGGAGGUUCUUCGGCCAAAGCCCCCCCAUUGAUCGUGAGCACGUGAGGCUCUUGGUCUUAACCUAAGGUGUUAAUUGUUUCGUAGGUGCAAAAUUAUCCAAGAUCAAAGAGGAAGAAAUUUGCAUCCACAACCAUGGCAACCCACAAAAUGGCCGCCGGGGGGGGGGGGGAGGGAGGUGGGGGAAGAGAAUCUGUGAAGGGAAGAGAGAAAAAAAAAGACCUCGGGAAAGCCAAAAUUUGUGAAGAAAAAGAAAAAUAGUUCCAUUUUCCAUUAAGAGCUUUUUGGGUUUUCAUUUUUCUUUUUCUCAUUAACAUUAUCUCUAAAAUCGAAUUGGGAUAUUGGGGGAGGAAGUUGAGAUUUUUGGGUUUUCUUUUUUCUUUUCCUCGUUAGCAUUACUUAAAGUUAGCUGCAUCCUUUGUUUUUCUUGUUUUCAUACGUUUUGCUUCAUGAAUACUGUGAAUGGAAUGAUACAUUUGUAGGAAAAGGAGAGGAGAAAAGAACUCGUGGAGGAGGAGAAAACGGAAUGGCAGGGGUAUGAAGGCUAGGGGAGGAUGGGAAGGAAAGAUGAGCUAGAAGGGAGGAGAGAAGGGCUUCCGCCGGCACCAAGCCGUAGCAAGGGACCGGCGGCUAAGGAGGUUGCAGAUCUAGGGUUUUGGGCAAGAUAGAGGGCAUCGGCUGGAGAGAAAAGGGCUUUUCCCUACGAUCUACAUACGAAAAAGAGCAUAAUGUCAAGGGGAAAGGUUUUGUACCUUAGACUAGUUGUGGGAUGGCCGAAGUCCCCCGGGAUCUGGCUCGAAACUCACAGGGUUCGCCGGAGCUAGUUCUCGAUUUAUGGGCUUCACCUAACUCCACAGAGACGAGGGAGAGUGAGAGAGAGAGAGAGUCCACGGUGGUGGUGUGUAGGUGUGAGGAUGGGUGCGUGCGUGGGUGUACUGUCGGGGAGAGAGUCUGAGAAAGAGAUAGAGAGUGAAAGAGUGAGAGAGAAAAGUGACCUGAGAGAGUGAGAGAUCCGAGAGAGACUCGGGAAAGGAUUUCUGGGUUUGGGUUUUUCGGGGUUUUUUUUUAAUAAGGUUAAUAUUAUAAUAUUUUUAAUGUAUAAAAAAUUAUUUUUUUUAUCACGUGGCAGCCACAUCAGCACAAAUGUGGCAGCCACGUCAGCAUUUAAUAGACCAAUGAAUGGAAAAUGUAACGGAGGUAUUAUUUUGAAAUAAAAUAGUAGGUGAGGUAUGAAAGUGAAAUGUUUUAAGGAUGUUGUAUGAGGUUGUUAUAGACCUCAAACCUGAAGAGUUACUAUGUAAUUUACCCAUUAUUUUAUGUCAUGCUCGCUUUAUAUAAAUAGAUAAAUAGAUCUAAGAAUUGCGUGACAACUUAACUUUUUUUUUCUCUUUUAGUUAAUUUGUACAAAUUUUUCUGACAUUUGGUACUAGUGGAAGUGGAAUGCUGAAAUAAAAAGAAAAAGGCAAAGAAAUGCGAUGCAAGUUCAUUGAAUGCGAUGCACGCGUAAAUACCAACUUGAAAAACGACAUUAUUACUUUGAUUUCCAUACAUAAAAACAAUUUUUUUAUUUUUAUUAUAAAGCUUCUAUUAUGAUUAAGUACUAGUGAUAUGGCAUUUAUCAAGACUUAAUAAGUCCUGAUUAGUGCUGCUGAAACACGUUUAAUAAGCCUUAUUAAGUUCUUUCUCUGUGAGAAACCCACCAACGAUUUUGAUGCCAAAACAUUACAUGGUCUUAUCUAUUUUAAUGCCUAUUCGCUAAUCCAGUCGAAUUAGUGGUCUUGAAACUUGAAAUAGCAACAACAACAACAACAACAACAAAGCCUUUUCCCACUAAUUGGGGUCGGCUAUAUGAAUCCUAGAACGCCAUUGCGCUCGGUUUUGUGUCAUGUCUUCCGUUAGAUCCAAGUACUCAAGUCUUUUCUUAGGGUCUCUUUCAAAGUUUUCCUAGGUCUUCCUCUACCCCUUCGGCCCUAAACCUCUGUCCCGUAGUCACAUUUUCGAACCGGAGCGUCAGUAGGCCUUCUUUGCACAUGUCCAAACCACCGGAACCGAUUUUCUCUCAUAUUUCCUUCAAUUUUGGCUACUCCUACUUUACCUCGGAUAUCCUCAUUCCCAAUCUUAUCCUUUAUCGUGUGCCCAUACAUCCCACGAAGCAUCCUCAUCUCCGCUACACCCAUUUUGUGUACGUGUUAAUGCUUCACUGCCCAACAUUCUGUGCCAUACAACAUCGCUGGCCUUAUUGCCAUCGUAUAAAAUUUUCCCUUGAGCUUCAGUGGCCUACGACGGUCACACAACACGCCGGAUGCACUCUUACACUUCAUCCAUCCAGCUUGUAUUCUAUGGUUGAGAUCUCCAUCUAAUUCUCCGUUCUCUUGCAAGAUAGAUCCUAGGUAGCGAAAACGGUCACUUUUUGUGAUCUUCGCUAGAUUGCUCCGGUCAUUAGUGUGGAUAAGUAUAUAAAUGGAUAGAGAUAGGAAAGCAAACACAAGAUGUACGUGGUUCACCCAGAUUGGCUACGUCCACGGAAUAGAGGAGUUCUCAUUAAUUGUGAAGGGUUUACACAAGUACAUAGGUUCAAGCUCUCCUUUAGUGAGUACAAGUGAAUGAUUUAGUACAAAUGACAUUAGGAAAUAUUGUGGGAGAAUGAUCUCGUAACCACGAAACUUCUAAGUACCGGAGUGUGGUAUCGUCUUGACUUGCCUUAUCUGUCUCAUAGGUAGAUGUGGCAUCUUCUCUGGAAGUACUCUUCCUCCAUCCAGGGGUGGUAUCUGUAACUGGUGGAGAUGCACAAGGUAAUGUAUCAAUUUCACUUGAAGCUUACUUGUAGUUUCAGGCUUGGUCAAGCGCGAUACAAACCAUGUAGUAGGAGUCCCCCAAGUCGCCGGGCUAGGGGAUCUGCUGAAAGAGGGUGACAGACAAGGUAAGCAAUCAGAGCUCCGGCUGAUUGUUCACAUUCUCCCUAUCUUGCAGGCAGCAUGAAGGAUAAAGAGAAGAAAAAUGAGAAGAGAUGAUAUGGGAUACUUUUGCUUUUGAAGAAGUAACUUUCCACAGGCUUAUUCUUGAACCGGGCUGGAGGGUUUUCUGGUUUCCUCCAGAGUAUAAGGCCGACUGAAGAAUUUGAGGGUCAAAACAAGUCCAUCAAAUCUAGAGUACGUUCGACCCUGCUGAUAUGGGAUACUUUUUCUUUUGACAGAGUAGUGGAUGUAUCGGCACGUGUGCUGUUACGCUUGUCUCCACAUGCUUCCUUGUAUCCUUCUCACUUGCCCUAUCUGUUCCUCAGGCAGAUGCGUAUCUUCCCUGGAAGCAUAAGAUGUUGAAGAUGAGUACUCGAGAGCAAUGUCCAGGUAAGUAAUCAGUAAGGGGUUCCAGGCAGUCAGUUCAUGGCUGGAAGCUUGAUUCCAAGUGCUGAUUGAUUGCUCUCUUUCUCCUUGUCUUGCAGGUAAGAACAAGGCCAAAGGAAAAGACAGGGAAAAAGCAUGAUAUGGGAUACUCUUGCUUUUAACCCUGAUGAUAUGAGAUAUUCUUGCUCUAGUAUAGCUUGUUUACAGAGGUAUUAUCGGGGGGAAAGAAAGCUGAAUAUUUUGAAAGGCUUCGUUAGGAGUGCCAUCUCAGAUAAGAGAAAGGGUUGAGCAUUUUUGCAGGUCUGCCUGUCCAUUAGGGAUGGAGGUCGACAUAUAUAGGAGUCCCCCUAACAUCAAGUAAUAAUGCUAUUCCUUUACCCUGCUUGGUCAUAACAUAGUAGUGGGAGCUGCCAGCUUCACAUGUUUUAACUCUGUUAGAGCACUUUGAAAAAGUGGUCUGUGGUAUCUGGAAAGCUGAUGUUGCGUGUGAAGAUUACAGACAAGCUUUAUCCAAGGAGAUCCAGCUCUUGAAGUUGGGAAAGUGGUGCCUCUUCGGUUUUCGAACAAGCAAUCCUGUCGGGGAUCUGGCUCUCGAGAUUCGGAGAACGAUGCCUCUUCGAUUUUUGAGAAAACAAUCCUGCUGGGGGUCUGGCUCUCGAGAUUCGGAGAGCGGUGUCUCUUCGAUUUUUGAGAAAGUAAUCAUGUUGGGAGUCUGGCUCUCGAGAUUCGGAGGGCGGUGCCUCUUCGAUUUUGGAGCAAGCAAUCUUGUUGGGAGUGUUUUCUCGAAUGUGAGUAAAGGUUGGGCAUGUUUGCUAGUCUACCUUGCCACAAAGCACAGAGGUUGACACAGGGACUUUCCAAUUAUCCAGCAGUGGUACUGUUCCUUUACCUUCUCUUCGAUUUUUGAGAAAGUAAUCAUGUUGGGAGUCUGGCUCUCGAGAUUCGGAGGGCGGUGCCUCUUCGAUUUUGGAGCAAGCAAUCUUGUUGGGAGUGUUUUCUCGAAUGUGAGUAAAGGUUGGGCAUGUUUGCUAGUCUACCUUGCCACGAAGCACAGAGGUUGACACAGGGACUUUCCAAUUAUCCAGCAGUGGUACUGUUCCUUUACCUUCUCUUCGAUUUUUGAGAAAGUAAUCAUGUUGGGAGUCUGGCUCUCGAGAUUCGGAGGGCGGUGCCUCUUCGAUUUUGGAGCAAGCAAUCUUGUUGGGAGUGUUUUUCUCGAAUGUGAGUAAAGGUUGGGCAUGUUUGCUAGUCUACCUUGCCACGAAGCACAAAGGUUGACACACAGGGACUUUCCAAUUAUCCAGCAGUGGUACUGUUCCUUUACCCUUUCUUCGAUUUUUGAGAAAGUAAUCAUGUUGGGAGUCUGGCUCUCGAGAUUCGGAGGGCGGUGCCUCUUCGAUUUUGGAGCAAGCAAUCCUGUUGGGAGUGUUUUCUCGAAUGUGAGUAAAGGUUGGCAUGUUUGCUAGUCUACCUUGCCACGAAGCACAGAGGUUGACAUACCGGGACUUUCCAAUUAUCCAGCAGUGGUACUGUUCCUUUACCCUUGUGGGUAAUAAUAUGGUAGCUAGACCUUCAAAAUUUAUGUGUCUAAACUUUGUUAGUGUUGUUUCUUUGCAAUUCUUUUACCCUUCUUGGUCAGAGCGAUGUAGCGGGAGUUGCAAGCUUCACGUGUCUCAACUUUGUCAGAGAACUUUGGCAAAGUUAUCUGUGGUACCCAUGAGUUACUGUUGCGUAUGGGAAGUGGGUGAUUGAACAGUACGAUUCAUGUGCUUUCUACUUCGCCAGAAAUCUUCGACAGAAUGCCCAUAAUUUCCGCAAAGCUGAGUGUGCGUGUGACAGGUGCUGACAAGGCUGGAAAAGUAGGUGCCUCUUCGAUUUCUGAGAUCAGCCUUCGUGGUCUCUUAGCAGCCCAGCUUUUGAGAAAGCAAGCCUCUUCGAUUUCUGAGAUCGGCCUUCGUGGUCUUUGAACAGCCCAACUUUUGAGAAAGCAAACGCCUCUUCGAUUUCUAAGAUCAACCCUCGUGGUCUCUGAGCAGCCCAGCUUUUGAGAAAGCAAACGCCUCUUCGAUUUCUGAGCAGGCGCCUCUUCGAUUUCUGAAGCUUCGUCGAGUGCAGAUUUUUAUAGGGGCUGACAUUAAGUUCCAAAGCACACUUGAAUAUCCACCAGUAGAAGCUCCAUUCUUGCACUUCUAAGAUCUUGAUUUGUCCGACCUCUUCUCUCUUCAACACUUUUGAAAAUGUCUGGCCCCUCUGACCGUCGUUUUGACUUGAACCUUGUUGAAGAGGCAGCCCCGCCUUCUCCAGACAACAUAUGGCGCCCAUCCUUCGUCUCCCCUACUGGUCCUCUUACCGUUGGGGAUUCCGUGAUGAAGAAUGAUAUGACCGCUGCGGUGGUCAGGAACCUUCUCACUCCCAAAGAUAACAGACUACUUUCCAAACGGUCUGAUGAGUUGGCUGUUAAGGAUUCUCUGGCUCUCAGUGUUCAGCGUGCAGGUUCUGUGUCUAACAUGGCCCAACGCCUAUUUGCUCGAACCUGCCAAGUUGAAUCAUUGGCGGGUGAAGUGAUGAGUCUCAAACAGGAGAUUAGAGGGCUCAAGCAUGAGAAUAAAUAGUUGCACCGGCUCGCACAUGACUAUGCUACAAACAUGAAGAGGAAGCUUGACCAGAUGAAGGAAUCUGAUGGUCAGGUUUUACUUGAUCAUCAGAGAUUUGUGGGUUUGUUCCAAAGGCAUUUAUUGCCUUCGUCUUCUGGGGCUGUACCGCGUAAUGAAGCUCCAAAUGAUCAAUCUCUGAUGCCUCCUCCUUCUAGGGUUUUGUCCAGUACUGAGGCUCCGAAUGAUCCCCCUCCGGUGCCUUCUCUUUCUGGGGCUUUACCGACUGCUGAGACUUCUCCUAAGCAACCUUUGUGAAGGCUCCCUCUUGUUUGUUUAUUUUGACUCAAGUAUAUGUACAUAUUUGUAACUUAUCGGGGAUAUCAAUAAAUAAGCUUUCCUUCAUUUCAACGUAUUGUGUUAAAUACACCAAAGCCUUCUUCGCUAAGUUCUUUGAAUUUUCUUUUGUUGAAGCUUGUAUGUUGAAGCUUUGUGAGUGGAGCAUGUAGGUUGAGGUAGUGUUCCCUUAAUUUCCUGAGUGAGGAAAACUUCUCGGUUGGAGACUUGGAAAAUCCAAGUCACUGAGUGGGAUCGGCUAUAUGAAUCUUAGAACGCCAUUGUGUUCUGUCCUGUGUCAUGUCCUCCGUUAGAUCCAAGUACUCUAAGUCUUUUCUUAGGGUCUCUUCCAAAGUUUUCUUAGGUCUUCCUCUACCCCUUCGGCCCUGAACCUCUGUCCUAUUAGGAUUUUUAUUGUAACCUAAGUCCUAUGCAAUAAAUAGGACCUUGGGGUUAGCAUAUUUAGUGUGGCUCAUUCGUGUGGCAAUUUGUGAGUUUGUGAGUUAGAGAGCAAUUUGGGAGAAUCUUCUCCGUUAGUUUUGGUUUAGGGUUUGUAAUUUGUGAGAUUUGGGUUGUGAGAGUUUAAACACUUUUGUAAUCUCCAUUUGUUUAGUGAAAUUUCUCGCCGUGCUUCGCUCGUGGACGUAGGCUUUACGCCGAACCACGUAAAUCUCUUGUGUUAGUUUGAGAUUGUUUGUUUUGACUUUCACCUACAACGUUGAUAUUGAUACUUUGUUAGAACUCGCUUCCGUUUGCGCAUAAAAGUACAACACAUUUAUUAUGCUCAUUGCCUCACCCACUAUUUUUUGCCCAAUGCCCAUCCUAAUUUCUUACUUAUCAAUUACAUAAUACAUAAUAAUGUUGACAUAAAGUUAAAAUUAAAAUAAGAUAAAGAGUAGGAAUGUACGCUAUUCUCGAAAAAAUGCCUCACUUGCAUUUGCAGCAAACGACGGUUCUUUGAGCACCAUUCUGUGCAUUCUCUGUUCCAGGUACAUUCUAAGUUUAAUUUCUAUACCACUACUGCUAUACUAGUGUGGGUUCAAUAUAUUGGUAUUGAACUCAUGAGACUCGUGAGUUCAAGAAAUUGGUAUCACACUCAACUUUUCCAACGCACUGUAAAAAUGUCAUCUUUGUAUAAGUUCAAUAUAUUAGUAUCCUUACUUUUUCCGGCCUACUGUGGGAGGCCUGAGGAUAAGAGAUUUUACACUCAUUAAUGCAACUAGGAAAAAGUAGGCAGUCAUCAUAAUAUUUGUUCCAGAAGAUAGACUUAUCCAUGUCAUGUUCCAUGCAAACUUCUAAAACUAUACGCCUUGUUAAUGUUUGAUUUAGUUUUGAUUGAUGUUGCAAAUACAAAUCAGUGAGAGUGAUUGAUUUGUGAGCUGAAGGAAGAAGAGGAGAGAGCAAAAUUGAAGACGUUGCUUCUAUGUAUAGGAUUCGAUUCUAACAGACGAGAGAGAGAGAGAGAGAGAGAGAGAGAGAGAGAGAGAGAGAGAGAGAGAGAGAGAGAGAGAGAGAGAGAUAGAGAGAGAGAGAGAGAGAGAGAGGAAGUAACUGUUCCAAUCCCACUAGCUCUAUUGACGAUAUGGGAGAGAGAGAGGAAUUAACUGUUCCAAUCCCACUAGCUCUAUUGACGACAUGUACAACUGAACCAUCUCAUCUGCUAUAACAGAUGGCACUAAUCUAGCCUAUAGCUAGUUCUAGUUUCAGCACUUCAUUACAAAAUAAGAACCAAGAACACAAAAUACAGAAAUUGAACAAAGUGUAAUCAGCUUCAAAGCUUAAGUCCUAACACUUCCUUCCAAGCUUGUAGCUGAUUUCACACCAAUGAGAAAUUGUUCCCACUACAAGGCCAGACUCACUGUCACUUCCAUCCGUCUUGCACAAUUUCUCAUUUACUGGAAGUGGAGUUGCCACUAACGUAGCCUUAUAGCCCAAAUAUCUCAAGUAACUUUAUUGCAUAUUUCUUUUGGUGAAUGAUGAUGCUCAUUUCAGUUUGAACAACUCUCGUUCCCAAAAAGUGGUAUAAUAAUCUCAAAUCAGUCAUUUCAUAAUAUUGCAUCAUAUCACUCUUGAAUUCUUCAAGCAUUGUUGGAAAACUACCAAUAUAAACAAUGUCAUCAACAUACGAAGAGAUAGUGAUUGUAACUAAGCUUUCAUUUGAUUUGGUGUAAAGAGUAGCUUCAUUAGGACUUUUUUAGAACCCAGCCUUGGUAAAAUAAGAAUAUAUCAAAUAUAACAACACCAUAUAUUUGGUAAUAUUUGUGAAGUGAGAAAUUACGUUAGGCUAUAGUCAACAAAAAUCUGUAGAGAAAGUGAACUGCUGAAAUAAGAGGAAAAAGGUAGAGGAAAGAGAUGCAAGUUCAUUGAAUGAGAAGCAAGCACACAAGAAAAUGCACACAUAAGAACCAAUAAAUAUGUUGUAGGCAUAAUUUACUAAGCAAUUAUAGAGGCCAGAAAGAGAAAGAGGGUGAGGCAUAGAGAGAGAGAAGAAAGAGAUGUGUAAUUGUGAGGUGUGUGUUAUUCCAUCCCAUUGUGCCUUUAUUUAUAGUAGUAGAGAAGGUUAAUUCCUUAUCCUAAUAGGAUUACAACCCUAAUAGGAUAAUAUAUAGUCUAAGAGAUAUGGUAGAAUCCCAUAAGGAUAUCCUAGAUAUGUUAAGAUUUACACAAUCACAUUCAUUAUCUAAUAGGACUACAACACUCCCACUUGAGUGUGUAAAUACUCAAACAAAUAGCGCAUUAGUUCUUCAGCGAUGAAGCAAGUAUAGUGAUGAAGUGUUUGGCACAAUGAGCGAAUGCGAGUCUCAAAUUAACGGAAGAAUGCAUAAAAGGUAAAACUCACAAACCCUCGCUGUGGUAAAACCCAAGGUGGGAGAAAAACCCAUAAACUAAGGAGAAAAGUGAGAAGUUGCAUUAAGUCAAAAUUAUACAUCUUAUGGACGCAAGUACUUUCAGAAUAGCGAAAAAACAUCUUUAAUACCAAUUCAGUGGUUACGUGUAGGCAUAGUGCUGCAGCUAUACUAAUAGAUCAACAGCGAAUGAGAUGUCCUUUCUAAUUGCAAUCAACAGCGAAUGAGAUGUCAUUUCUAAUUGCAAUGAACUAAGUACAACAAGCGCAAAGUUGAACUCAAAUAUGGAACUUCGGAUUCCAUAACCUCUUAAAGGGUCUCAUUUGCAUAUAGCGUAUGGAAGAUUAUAGGUAUACUCAAAGGAAAAACCUUCGGGGUGUAGUUUAACUGGUAGACCAAAGUACCGUCAGAGCAACGCUUGAACUUUAAGUCAAGAUGAGUUUUCCCAAGAUCCUUCAUCUCAAAUUCCUUAUUCAGGUGUGAGAUAGUUUUCUCAAGCUCUUCCAGAGUCUUAGUGAGAUUCAUGUCAUUUGACGUAAACUGUAACUCUAGCAAUACAGAAUAAGACUUCAUAGUUUAACACGCAAGGGCUUACUUCAUAUCCUUAACUGAUCAAAUAAUCACUUAGACGGGUAUACCACAUCCGCCAAAUUGUUUUAAUCUGUAAGUGAACGCCUCAAACAAGUUGAGAGGGUGUUUCGUGGUUUGGAACUAUUUGAACCAGUCCAUGCAAUUCUUCGAGAACUUACAUGUAAAUCUCCGUAUCAAUAUCCCCCAUGGAAAAACACUAACCACAUUUCAUAAUGCUGCUGUCAAUCACAUGGGUUUGAGAAAAACCUUGUGCCGUAAAAUGUGCAUCAUAUCGCACUAUUUCAUUCAUCUCAUUAAACUUUCUUUCCCACUUGUAACACAACAAGUUUACCUUGGGCAGUACAGGAAUGAUAGGUCCAAAACACACCUUGGUAAGGAAUUUAACCUGGAUUGCAAUUUCGGUUGUCCAAUCAGUUAUACGUUGUCACUAAUCAACGAAACAUGGUUCGGUAUCUUUCAUUUAUAUCAACAACUACCAUAUAAGUGAAAACAUUAUCGAUGAUAAUUUCAUUUCAAUUCCAUUUUCUCAUCUAAACUAGUAUACUGGACCAAGAACUUCAAGUCUCAGGAGUAAUUCGGAUAAAUCUCAUGAGAUGUAAAUCAUUUGAGAUAACGAUCAAGUAUAGAUUCAUUUAGUGUCAUAUCUUCCUCUUCUAGGGAAAUGAAUCUGAUGAUUGAGUGAUUAGUCAUGCUCCAGGCCAAGACAGAUUGAUUGGCUAUCUGCCGGUGUACCGGACUGUCCAACAUGGAUGGCCAAACCGUCCAACAAGGACGUCACACCCUUCGGGAAUGUUGACUCAACAUCCAUUUAAGUACCUCUAUCCUUGCAGGCAUGUUUGCAGCUAGUAUAUGAUCUCGUCACUUUAGCUAGAUCAGAGAAAUGUGUCUGGAGCAAUAUUAUGAAAGCUAGAAUUCAUUGCACUUGCUUAUCACACUUGUGUGGUACGAGGAUUGAGAUUAGGCAUAAUGGGUAACGUCCAAGCAAAUUUGCACCGUUCUACAAGAACGUUAACGUUCUUAUCUCCCCCUAACGGUGAGAAGACUGUCUCAUUGAAGUGAAAAUCCGCAAAUGAACAAUCAAGAGAUCGUUUACAAGGGCUCUAAGAGAGCUAAGGUGAAGGAAAAUCUUAAUCGACAAAGAUUCACAUUCUACUUUAAUGACCCAUGUUGGUACGUUGCGACGACUCAACUUGGCACAUGGAAUGCACACCCAAAUGCGUAAAUACGAAGAGUUAGGUUCGUACCCAGUAACCAACUGUGACGUCAAAUAAGUUGGGUGGCAAGGGGCCUCAAGGCAGACCAACAUAGCUGCGUACAAGAUUGCAUAGCCUUUGGCAGAAAUCGAAAACUUAGUGCGAUCAAUUAAAUUGCGCUUUAUAAUUGCUCUACGAAGAUGUUUUAGGGUGAAUAUAGGAAUUCGAUGUUCAAUUAUAAGCCCAAUAGACAUGCAAUACUUUAUCAAAAAAUCGUCGAUAUAAACUCUUCCGCAUUAUCCAGUCUCCCAGACUUUAUGGGAUAAGUAGGGUGGUGAACCCUUAAAAUUGGCCAGGAGGUUUAGCAGCAAUGUGCAUUGAUAAACAUGUGACAAGUUUGUUGAUUGAUUAACCAGAACCAUAAAUAUUUAUAUGGUUAGCAUUUUGGUUGGAUUAGUCCACAUAUAUUCCCUUGAAUCCAUUGUGAAAAGAGGGCCAUUUUCGUGUUUUUGCUAAGGAAGAUUAGCAAAUCAAUUUCCCAAACGAGUAGGCUUGACAAAGUGUGCAUGUAAGCACAAGAUCUUUACUUCGGGUAAGAAGAUGUGUCGUGGCAUCACUGUUCGACUUAAGUGUCCCAAAUCGUCGUGCCAAAGCAAAUGAACUGCUUGAAUCACCCGGCUGCAGGCCGGUCACAUGUGGCGUGUUCCUAGUAAGGAGACAGUGCUCUUCAGGCUCAUCUUUGGAGAUGGUGCAAAGAUUUUAAAUAUUCUUAAAACUCAAUGAUGUUCGUCCGAAACAGGAAGAAUAUAAGGUCUCUGACAUGGUAAUUUAGUACCAUUCAUACAACGAGGACCAUGCCAAUGCUCUUAAUCAGGUUGGAUAGAUCUAAAAUCAUUGUUAGAGAUGUGAUUUAGGUGUAAAGUUAGUGUGCGUAGUAUCGCAUUCAUCGAGACAACUAACUUUCUCACGUUCGUACCUAAUCACGUGUUUAAUUGAAUUCGGUCACAUGUAUACAAGAAACAUGAUUCAAUUAACUCAUUUUCGAGGACAAGAUCGAUAAGAUUAUCCAUAACUAAAACAAACACCAAAUGUGAAUCCAAGAACAUAAAAAUGUUCAUAAAGUAAACAAAAGUUACUAGGGGGAUUUGGCCAACAAGGCCAUCCAUGUCAAAAUUCUGAUUUUCCAACGAUGUUUGUUGGAGCAAAAUUAGUCUCACAUAUUGACUACUAGAAUGGUACUCCUCAACAACAUUGGUAGUGGCACAAACAGGUGCAUAACCAAUGAUCUAUUCUAUUGAGAUGGAAGUAGAUUCUGUAGGGUUGAGGUUUAUAAAUAUUAUCCCUUCUUCUUGAAGUUUUAGGUCUUAGGUACCAAUGAUCACGCUUCAGGCAUGAUGUCAUACGUUAGCUAGCCCUAAUCCUACCAUAAGUUGUAAAAACAAACUUGAAAUUGGAUUGUGAGAGAGACAGAGCCAGACUUGGGUUCAGUAGGCUCCAGCGGAAGCUUGAGGGGUUUGUUCGGUAUGCCUCUGCCGAAGCAGAGCAAUACAGUUCGAUGCAUCUUUGCCGAAGCAAAGCAUGCCUCUUCGGUGCAUCCUUGCCGAAGUAGGGUAUCACCAUUUGGUAGGCUUUGACUGAACUGGGUUUAUACCAUUUGGUAGACUCCAGCCGAAGCUGGGCUUGUCCCGUGUGUUGAGCUCGACCCAAAAAAGCCAGCAGCCUUGCUGCUGGGCUUUCUAUUUCUCGGCCCAUGGCCUACAACCAUGUUUGGGUUGCUUUGCAACAACCUUGAGGCCUACAUGCGUUUAGGGCUUUGCCCUACUCACGGAACCUAAGCCCAAUUCUAUUAGGCUAUGGUUUUUCGAAUCCAAUGCUAUUUUUUUGGCAUUUUAAAUAAUUUUAACCCGAAUGUUAUUAUUAUUUUUGCUUCUACGAUCGAUCUUGUAUGGUCCGAUCUAUUGAAUUAAUUAAAGUAACCUGCAGUCCAUUAUCUGACAAUUAAUCUAAAAUUAUUGGCCUGAAGUCCACUUUUUGGCAUUAACGAUUCAAUAAAUUAUUUCGCUUCUUUGGACCGUUGACUAUCUUUCGUAGUCCUGAAACACUCACACUUGGAUUCCUGAAGCAAUCCAUAAAUUCACUACACUUUAUUGUAUAUUGUAUUCUUGCAGGUACCCCUAUAUGAACUAAAUGUUCAUAUAUAAAUCGAACAUGUAGUUUCGAAUUUAGUGCCUUUGAAAUCUGAAAUUUUCAUUCAAAACUUACCACAUGAAACCUAUAGCUUUCAUGCUUAAAUUAAACCAAUACAUGUCUAUAGAACCUGUAUGUUCUACAAUAUAUGUCUAUGGCUUUCUAUAUGACUAACCACAUUUUGGUGUACCCUCUGUUUUAGGGACAUGUCGAACUUGAACAAACACGAUUUCACCGCUUUGGAAGUCUUCAGAAGAAACUACCUGAAGUGGGUUUAAGACGUGAAGCUCCAUCUUAUUGCAAAGGGUUUUAGAGCUACGAUCGAGGAACCUAUCAACGAUGAACUCAUCGAUGAAGCUCAGAAAGCUACUGUUAUGAUCUUUAUUUGAAGACGCAUUCAUGAUGCACUGUAGACUGAGUACCUCGCAGAGGAGGAUCCAUGUACCCUCUGGCUCGCUCUGACGGAUCAUUUUGAUCACAAGAAAGACAUCUACUUGCCUAAAGUAAGACACGACUGGCAGCAUUUACGCUUCCAAGACUUCAAGUCUAUGAAUGAAUUUAACUCUAAAGUUUGUAAAUCUGAUCACUGCUUAAGUUUUUUAAAGAGAACUUAACUGAACAAUAUCUCCUAGAAAAUACCUAUUCGAUCUUCAAUGCCACCAAUAUUGUCAUGUAGCAAUAAUAUAGGGCACAACAAUUCACCAAAUUUUCGGAUUUGAUUUGUUAUAUUUCUCGCUGAAAAGCAGAACCAGUUUUUGAUGAAGAAUCAUCAAGCUCAACCUACUAGCUCGAACGCUCCGCCUGAAGCACAUACGACUAAUUCUAGCAACCACAACCGACGGAAACCCCAUUGUGGCCAUGGUAAUGGGUGGAAAGGCCCACCACGGGCCCAAGGUCCACUGAAUAGAAGCCCAUCCAAGGGAGGAAAUUUGACCCAGAAGCGCAAACCCCUUGCCCCUAAGGCACCAAACUUUAAGAACAAGGGAAAAGCUAUUGUUUAAUCAAAUUCCACUAAACUGGACAUGUGCUACCGUUGUGGAUCAAAGGAUCAUGGGUCAUGCGUAUGCCGAGCUACCCCCAAGGUUAUUGCCAAGUAUCAUUCCCGUCGUGAGACUAACUUUGUGCAUGUGAAACAUCCCGAAUAUGCUACUACAACUCUGGAGGUUUCAGAUUUUCAAAAGGCAUCCUCUCAUAUGGAAGAAUAAAGUUUAUUUUUCAAGACAUGUUUUUAGGGUGUUUUACCCCUAGUGGCCAAAACCACUAGAAGUGGCCAAACCCACUAGGAGUGGCUGAAGCCCCCUCUUAAAUUUUGGUUUAUGGUUUAAUUGUUGGACAAUUUUUCUAAGUAUUUGAAAUUAUUUGUUUGGAUUGGUUUGUUUUGAACUAUGGAUAUUAUUUCUCGAUUUGAUUAAUUGAAUGAAUGGAAUUAUAUUUAUGCAUGUGACUGAUUCAAUUAAUUUAUUUCUAGGUAUAACUAGUGGGGAAGUUAGUUGUCUAGCUGAUAGUGCAACCACGCAUACCAUAUUACGUGAAACACUAGUUUACUAACUUCGUACCUAAGAAUGCACUUCUGACAACCCUCUCAAGCCCAUCCAACCUAAUAGAAAGAUACGGAAAUACCUGUAUAAUGUUAUCCAAUGGUACUGAAUUAAUCAUUAAAGAGGCACUCUAUUCUCCACAUUCCGAAAGAACGUUGUUGAGAUUUAGAGAUAUUCAAGAUAAUCAAUAUCAUAUUGAAACCACCGAAGAGAAUUGUUGUUAAUUUCUUUGUAUCACUUCUUACAAAUAUGGCUGAAAGCGUAUUCAUGAGAAGCUGGAACUUCUUUCGAGUGGGUUGUAUAUAACAACCAUUUGAGCACUUGAGACAUACCAUAUGGCCGGCCUUAUGGCUGGGUUCCAGGACACUCUCCUACUUUGGCAUGAAUGAAUGGGACAUCUCGAAUGAGAUAUGAUGCACCAUAUCCUAAAAGGAUCAUAUGGGCAUCGCUUAAAAUCUUAUCCAGACCGUUCACUUUGCAAAGCAUGCUCCAUGAGGAAGUUGAACAUUCAACCCUUAAUUACAAAGAUUAUUCACGACCCCUCAUAAAUUUCUUCAGAUGAUUCAAGGGGAUAUUUGUGGAUCUAUCCAACUAACAUGCGGACCAUUUAGAUAUUUCAUGGUGUUGGUUGAUGCAUCUACACGAUGGUCACAUGUUUGCUUAUUGUCCACACACAAUACUGCAUUUGUGAAACUCUUAACACAAAUUAUCAAGCUUAGGGCUCACCACCCUAAUUAUUCGAUCAAAUCGAUUGGACUAGAUAAUGCUAAAGAGUUUACGUCACAGACUUUUGACGAUUAUUGUAUGUCUGUUGGGAUUGAAGUUGAACAUCUUGUACCUCAUGUUCAUACCCAAAACGACCUGGCAGAAACUUUCAUAAAUCGCCUUCAAACGAUAGGUCGGACUUUGGUUAUGAGAACCAACUUGCCGAUAUCUGCCUGCUGCCAUAUUGCACUCAACUAUGUUGGUCCGCCUGAGGCCCACUGCUACCUAACCUCAUUCACUAUUACAGUUGGUUACUAGAUACGAGCCUAACGUCUCAUAUUUACAUGUGUUUGGGUGCACAUUCUAUGUGCCAAUAACAUCGCCACUACAUACCAAAAUGGGUCCUCAAAAAAAAAUGGAAAUCUAUAUUGGUUAUGAUUUGCCAGCAAUUAUUCAUUACUUAGAGUCCUUGACAAACGAUUUAUUUACCCCAUGUUUUACAGAUUGUCAAUUCGAUGAGACAGUCUUCCUGUCGUUAGAGGGAGACAAUAUCACUAACGUUCAUAUAGAACACCAUGAAUUGUCGUGGAUUACUCCCACUAUGUCUCAAGCAGAUCCUCGCACCCCUUAGUUUGAAACUGAAGUACCACGCAUUUUAGAUCUUCAGAACAUUUCUCAAAGAAUGCCGGAUGCUUUUACUGAUCUAACAAAGGUGACGAGAUCAUAUAUACCCACUGCAAACACACCUGCAAGAUAAAUGUACUUAAUAUACGUCGUAUGACCAUCGUGGAAGGCCGAACCGACCCCGAGGGUGGGGCAACUGCACCUCCCACACGGCAUGGUACACUAGCGACUAGCCAAUCAUCUACUCUAACCCUGAGGCAUGGCAAACCUCCUAGUUCAAAGGAUUUACAACUCUGGAAGAAGAAAACGACACAAACUAGUGAACCUAGUUUGAAUCCGACCAUUGCUUACUCAUUUAUUCCAACGUAUGAGGUUAUUCUAGAUUACAUAGUUUUGGAUGAGGUUUGAAAUCGGAAUGAGAUGAUUGUCGAUGAUGCAUUGGCGUAUACAGUUACUUCGGACAUCAUGCUUAGCAAUGAUAUUGAACCAUGUUCCUUUAAUGAAUGUCGACGUAGAACGGAUUGGUCAAACUAGAAACAAGUAAUCCAGGUCGAACUCGAUUUGCUUGCGAAAUGUAAGAUGUUUGGGAUUCUAGCUCAUACUCCACCACAUGUGAAGCCCGUGGGCUACAAGUGGGUUUUUGUAAGGAAGCGUAAUGAGAAUAAUGAAAUAGUGAGAUACAAGGCAUGCCUCGUGGUGUAAGGCUUCUCUCAAUGCCCUAGGAUUGAUUACGAGGAGACAUAUUCCCCUAUAAUGGACGUCAAAACUUUCUGCUACCUUAUCAGUUUGGUAGUUUCUGAAAAACUGAAUAUGUAGAGUUCUAGACCACAGAACUUCCUCGAUUAGAUUGAGGAGAUCACUUUACGGAUUGAAACAAUCUGAGUGGAUGUGGUAUAACUGUCUGAGUGAAUAUUUGAUAAGUUAAGGUUAUGUGAACAACGAACUAUGCUCAUGUGUGUUCAUUAAGAAGUCACAUUCUGGAUUUACGAUCGUUGGAGUUUAUGUCGAUGACAUGAACCUCAUCAGAACUUCCGCAGAGCUUGGGAAAAUUGCCACGCACUUGAAAUCAGAAUUUAAGAUGAAAGAUCUUGGAAAAACUCGAUAUUGUAUCAGCCUGCAGAUCAAGCAUUAUUCGGAUAGAAUCCUAGUACAUCAAUUGAAUUACACCCAUAAGGUGUUGCGACGUUUUAAUGAGAAUAAAGCGAAGCUUUCAAGUACUCCUAUGGUUGUUCGGACAUUAGAUGCUAAACGAGAUCCCUUCCGUCCCAAGGAAGAUGAGGAAGAGAUUUUGGAGCCUAGAGUUCCAUACCUAAGUGCAAUUAGUGCUUUAUUGUACUUGGCUCAAUGCACUAGACUUGACAUUUCCUUCGUUAUUAAUCUUUUGGCUAGAUACAGCAACGCGCCUACACGCAGACACUGGAAUGGUGUUAAAGACGUACCUUAAGGGUACGAUAGAUUUGGGCUUGUUCUACACCCAUGAAACUUCGAGAUGAGUCAUCACCCCCCUUAGUUCUCGGGUUUAUUCUCGCAUCGUUGGUUACGCAAAUACUAGUUAACUGUCUGACCCACAUAGAGCACGUUCUCAAACAAGUUAUGUCUUUACCAUUGAAGACACUGCUAUCUUGGAGGUCUACCAAGCAAGGACUUCUUCGAACCAUGUUGAGAUUCUUGCCCUGUAUGAAGCCUCGCGAGAGUGCUUUUGGUUGAAAGCAGUUAUGGAACAUAUUCGAAGCACUAAUGGUCUUACUUCUGUCAUUGACCUUCCUAUGACGAUCUUUAAAGACAAUGCAACAUGUAUCGAGCAGUUAAAGAAGGAAUACAUCAAGGGAGAUAACAUCAAGCACAUAACGCCGAAGUUCUUUUACAGUAUUACUCUCACCAGCAACAACAGCAUCAGAACAUUAAAGUCAAGCAAAUCCAUUCCCAAGACAACUUGGUCGAUCUCUUCACCAAGUCAUUACCCCUAAGUCUACUUUUCAAAAGCUCUCCAAGAAAUCAGUAUGCGUAAAUUGUCUGAGUUGAAUUGCCUGUAGUUCUCUUAUUUGGAAGUAUGUCUAACUCAGUGGGAGUAUCUAGAAGCAUACUCACUUAAUCUUAAUGUACUCUUUUUCCUACGAUUAUGAGCAUUUUUCCCAUUGGGUUUUGCUACCUAAUGAGGUUUUGAUGAGGCAACCAUCCUGGGAUGACCAUACUCCGUUGAGUUCACUACUUUCUUCCUCUUUGACGUUUGCUUUAGACAUUAUGCAUACUUCUCACCUUUAGUCUAUGGGUUUUUGCCUACCUCAAGCGUUACCAUAGCGAGGUUUUGUGAGUUUUACUACCGAUGCAUACUUACUUUCUUAUAUUUGAGACUCGCAUUUACUCUUUGUGCCGACGACUUCGUCAACUGUUUUACCUCAUCUGCUGAAAAUCUGAUGCAAAGUUUUGUUUGAGUAUUUACACACUCAAGGGGGAGUAUCUUUGUAUAUUCCCUUUAGUAGUUUAAUUCCUAUUAGAGAUGUAAUCUUUUUAGGGUAAGGAUUCUACCUAUCCUACUACUAUAAAUAAAGGCAUAAGGGGGUGAUACAACACACGUCUCAAAAUUAUAUAUCUCUCAUCUCUCUAUUGAUGCCAACCCUUCUCCCUUUUUGUCAUAAAUACAGUUCAGUCAAAUAGGCCUACAACAUGAAUAAUAUUAUCUACAAUAAGGGAGAAGGGAUAGGCUUAGCCUCAUAACAGGCUAGCAAUAAUGUGGUUCAAAUUCGCUUUUACUAAGAAAAAAAACCUAAGACCUCUCACGUAAAAGUGAAAAGGAAUACCACUACACCGUAGUACUAAAUGGCGACUACACCUAGAUUUGAAUGCAUUCUUUGAAUCUUGUUAAAUACUACUUUGACUACACCAUGAUCGAACAAUUUGGAAAAAUAACCAAAAGGUAGACCAUGAAUAGAAUUUUAACCAACCAUCAUAAUUUCAUAUAAUUCUAACCAAAAUUUGAUGUAAAAAUACUUAAACACCCUUGUUCAGUUGGAACCUUGUCACGAUACUCCUUCAAUCUCUUCUUAAUAGAUGGUUGUAUCUGCACCCUUUCUGAUUCAUUCAAUGCUUUCCUCUCCUGAUCCCUCUGAGCAUGCAACUCCUUUUCUAUGACCAUCUAUUCAAUCUCAUCGUCGGUAAGAUUUAAAAAAACAAAAAAUUUCAAAGUGUUUUAAUUUUUUUUUUAAAUUUUAAUUAACUACACCCUGAUUUUAAAAUGUUUUAAAUUCUUUUAAAAUCCUAACGGCACAUAAUCAAACUCAAAUUUGAGAGGAUUUUAAAAGACUUUAUAUCUUGACUAUACCUCCUUAGACUUUAUUCUUUAAUUUCCAAACAUAACAAUUAUUUUUUUCUAUUACAAAGCUUAUGUUAUGCUACUAAUAAUACUACAGUCUAGUGGUAGACCUCUUCACUUGUAAAUGAGAGGUCUUAGGUUCGAUUCUCGUCAAAUGCAAAUUUGACCCGCAUUAUUACUAGCUCAUUGUGAGGCUAAGCCUACCCCCUCCUCCAAGGCCACCCCUCCCCUUUAGUAUAGAUAAUAUCAUUUGUGAAAAAGCUUAUGUUGUGCUUAACUAUUAGUGUAUGCCAUUUAUGUUAGAUCCCACAAUCCUUGGCCGGAAGUGUGCCGACGAAGACGUCCGGCCCUUAAGGGGGGUGAAUUGUUAGAUCCCACAUUACCUAGGGGAGUGGAUCCUCUAUGCUUUAAAUGUACAUGCCCACCUCCAUAUAACACGAAGCCUUUUGGGAGCUCACUAGCUUCGGAGUUAAUCGGAACUCUGAAGUUAAGCGAGUUUGGGCGAGAGCAAUCUUAGGAUGCGUGACCCAUUGGGAAGUUCUUGUCUGAGCUCCCAGAAACAAAAACUAUGAGGGCGUGGCCGGGGCCCAAAGCGAACAAUAUUAUGUUGCAGCGGAGUCGAGACUGGGAUAUGACAAUUUGGUAUCAUAACCAAUCCUUGGCAGGAAGUGUGCCAAUGAGGACGUCGAGCCCCUAAGGGGAGUGGAUUGUUAGAACCCACAUCGCCCAAGGGAGUGGAUCAUCUAUGCCUUAAAUGUACAUGCCCACCUCCAUAUAGCACGAGGCCUUUUGGGAGCUCACUAACUUCAGGGUUCAUCGAAACUCUGAAGUUAAGUGAGUUCGCGCGAGAGCAAUCCUAGGAUGGGUGACCCACUGGGAAGUUCUCAUGUGAGUUCCUAGAAACAAAACCGUGAGGGCAUGGUCGGGGCCAAAAGCGGAUAAUAUCGUGCUACGACGAAGUUGAACCCAAGAUGUAGUAGAGCCCGGGUCGGGAUGUGACAAUUUGCCAAGAUUUAAAGUCAAUAAGUCCUGAUUAGUGCUAAUGAAACAUGGUUUAUAAGCCAUAUUAAGUCCUUUCUCUUUCAGAAACCCACCAACCCACCCUUUCGUGCCUAUUUGCUAAUGUAGUCAAAUCAGUGAACUUGCAAGCAGAAAAUCUGGCGGCUAAUAAUUUCAAUAUUGAUUUUACAUUUGAAAAGUUUUGAAGGAGUUUCUCAAAAUGUCCAAAUAAUUCAUUAGAGACGCUAGAUUUAUCUGAUUGUGGUAUGCAAAGCCAACUACUAGCCUCCUUAGGAUUAGGAAUGUUUUGCAUAAUCUCAACCUUAUGUACAAUAAUUUGUGGAGCUCAAUUCCAGAUUUCAUCGAAAACUUGUCAUCCUUGAUAACACUAGACCUCUCUUCUAAUAAUAUGAAGGGCUCCAUUCCACAAAGUAUUGGGCAACUCUCUCAGCUAGUUUCCCUCGAUCUUUUUGGUAAUUCAUGAGAAGGUAUUCUAACAAAAACCCAUUUCAUAAAUCUUACUAGAUUGCAAGAUUUUCAAAUAGGAGAUACAAAGGGACCAAUAUCUCUCUUGUAAGGACUAAUAAUGAUCUUGUCUAUAUCCAAUAUGAAAACAAGUAACACAAUGAUCAAUAUAAAAUCAAAAUAGUGGAUUAAGUACCACCUAAUCAUCUGUUUUCAUGAGGAUCGAACAGACCAUUAUCUUGGCUAUUCAUAAAUUAUAUGGUCACUCGCUGUUAAACGUGAUAUUGACGAUGAAGAAUAAAUGAAUAUUUUUUGUAAGAAAUAACUGCGAACAUGUGGUUGCAACGAACUCUCUUCCUUUGGGAGGGACAUGGCAUAAAACAAGAGCAGUGAUUGCGAUGGGCCUAUUGGAGUAACCAAGUCACCAAUGGCAAAGGAAAUGGGAAGCAGAAGAAGACAUAAACGUAGACGCCAGACGAGACUUAUUUGAGCACCAUCCCAUGAUCCCAUCAACAACGGACCGACCCAGCUCAGACAAGCGACUACACGUUUAACAGCUGCAUAAAUGCAUAUAAAUGCAUAUGCCCUUAUUGUUUUUCCUCCUAAUACAUUCUUAAAUCUACCAUAUAUAUGUGCUUGCUUGAUUGUUUUCUAUUGUUUUUCCUUUGUUUUCAUGAAAGCAAAACAGAAGCAAUUCAUUGUGAUAGCAGCCUAGGCCUCGUUUGGCAUGCGUAAUUGUGCUAUUUAAUUCGAAUCCGGAGGUUUGAUCCCACAUCUUAAAAACCUCCCCAUUUUUCUCUAAUUCACUCUUGUUAGCAUCGUGUGUGUAUGUGUGUGUGUGUAUAUAUAUAUAUAUAUUAUUGCUGAAUUCCUAUCCCAACACUGAAAUUUUGAUUGCAUUUUUGUAUUUUUGUUUUCUGUUUGGUAUUAAAUUUAUAGAGGCAGACAGGCAGAGGUGGCAGAGGAGGAGGUGAACACGAGCUAAUAAUAAUUUGGAAUAAUUGAUAAAAGAAAAGGAUGGAGCUUAAGCAGCUGUUCGUGACGGCCUUAAUUCCGGUGUUGAAAGUGCUUUCGAUAACAGCACUUGGCUCAUAUCUUGCUCUUGAUCGUGUCAAUAUUUUGGGGGAAGUUACUAGAAAGAACUUAAACACUGUAAAAACAAUACACUGCUUCUUCAUUCAGUCUCUUGUGCUCUAAACCCUCCCCAUUUAAUUUAAUUUCUCGUGUUGGACUGUUUUCUUACAAAUAUUUAUGUUUUGUGAACCAAUGAACGAACAGGUUGUAUUUUAUGUAUUCGGUCCUGCUCUGGUGAGUUCCAACGUUGCGCAGACAAUUACAUAUCAAAGCAUGGUUAAAAUGUGAGUUCUAAUUAAGUUGUUUAAUAUAUAUAUAUAUAUAUAUAUAUAUAUGUAUGUAUGUAUAUAAUCAUGUUAACGUUGUAAUAAUUAUAUUGUGUAUAGGUGGUUCAUGCCAGUGAAUAUCCUCAUCACAUUUAUAAUUGGUUCCAUACUCGGAUGUCUUCUCAUCCAAUUAACAAGGCCACCUGCCCAUCUGCGAGGCCUUGUCUUGGGUUGCUGUGCUGCAGGUAAUCCAACACCUAAUUCUAAAACACAGCUGAUAAAUAUUCGGUUUUGCGUUUUAUCAAUCUCCAGAUAUGCUGAUGUUAACACUUAAUAGGUAAUUUGGGUAUGAUGCUCCUCAUUAUAGUCCCAGCAGUCUGUAAAGAAAAAGGGAGCCCAUUUGGAGCUCCUGAUGUCUGUCACAUGUAUGCCAUGGGUUAUGCUUCGCUCUCAAUGGCGGUACAUUUCCUUCUCCGUCUUGUUCCAAUAUUUUGGUUUUCUUGAAAUUCCUUUAUCUAGCUUUCUAUGACUCGAAUUAAGAAAGGAUUGGGAAACUGCUUCAAAUAAGUUACAAUCCAAUUCUCUCAUUCAAGUCGAAAAUGCGCAGUUACUGCAAUUUGAACUCACGAUUUUAAUUUUUAUUAUUAUCAUCAUAAGUUUCAUCUCAUGUCUAGAACAUAUACAUACAAAUUGUACUACCCCCAAACGGCCAGGGCCAGUUCUUAAACGGUGUUUGUGUGCGCCUGCUUGCUGUGUAGAAUACGUUUUUCUGAACACAUUUUCUUUUGUCCUUCUUUUCCUCUUGAAUUCUGGUGACUGUUUCUCUUCAAUACAAUGUAGCUACCUUGUUCAGCUGUCAGGGAUUCCUAUCUUUGCCUUUUGUAAUGUAAUUGUGUCCAUGCUUCAGGUAGGAGACUUUUAUGUGUGGUCCUAUGUGUAUAAUAUUGUGCGGGUAUCUUCAAGAAGGGGCAACCAAGAUUAUAAUCAGUCCGCCGAGAGGUCCUCUACAUCCGACCAAGUAAGUUGCACUGAGCCUCUGCUAUCUUCAAAGGAAUGUCAUAGUUGAGGAAAAUCCGGAUCAAUAUGCACUGUCAUACACUGCUGUACCUGAAGAAAAAUCAAAGGUGUUGGAGUUUUGAGCCUCCUUUAGUCCCACAUCGGGGAACUCAAGUUCCCUAGAGGUCUUUAUUUUAGGUUAGUCACCUUUAUUAGUGAUUAGGUAUUAGACCAUUUGGAAUGAGAAUUGAGAUUUGGACCACUAAAUAUGUGGACUUGAUGAUUAUACCAUAAUAUUAAUAUAAUUAGUAUUAAUUGAUCAAGACAAGGCCCUUGGUAUUUGAAGAGCUAUGAAAUUUUGAAGAGUUGUGCGGUUUUAGAUACAUCCAAAAGGUAUUUGAAGAGUUAUGAAAUAGCCUACAUAACUAAAAACUCAGUUCCAUCGUAAAUCAUAUUUUUCAUUUCCUAUCUCUCCCAUACAAUAUUGAGAAAAGAAAACUAGAGUACACAACUCUAACAUAAAUGUUGGUUAGAGAGACAACACAAGUAAACAAAUUACUUGUAUUACACGCACAAAAUAUUACUUGAAUGUCAUUUGAAUAUAUGGUCUAGAUUCACAAGCUCACAUGUAACAUGCCGGACAUCUCCAACGAGAAAUUUACCCUGUUUCUUUUCAAUUUCUUACACUGCAUAUCUUUGUUGUUUUCCAUGGCAGGCAACGACUUCAGGUAAACUAGAGCAACGAAUAGUGAUGGUCUUUCAAAAGAUGAAUCUGAAAUCAAUAUUUGCCCCUUCAACUAUUGGAGCGGUAUGCCCUUUCUGCACUUUUCCGAUUAGAAGAUGCGACUAUGGGACAGAGGUUCAGGGCCGAAGGGGUAGAGGAAGACCUAGGAAAACUUUGGAAGAGACUCUAAGAAAAGACUUAGAGUACUUGGAUCUAACGGAGGACAUGACACAGGAUCGAGCACAAUGGCGUUCUAAGAUUCAUAUAGCCGAUCCCACUCAGUGACUUGGAUUUUCCAAGUCUCCAAUCGAGAAGUUUUCCUCACUCGGGAAAUUAAGGGAACACUACCCCAACCUACAUGCUCCACUCAGAAAGCUUCAACAUACAAGCUUCAACAAAAGAAAAUUCAAAGAACUUAGCGAAGAAGGCUUUGGUGUAUUUAACACAAUACGUUGAAAUGAAGGAAAGCUUAUUUAUUGAUAUCCCCGAUCAGCUACAAAUAUGUACAUAUACAUGAGUCAAAAUAAACACACACAAGACGGAGCCUUCACAAAGGUUGCUUAGGAGAAGUCUCAGCAGUCGGUAGAGCCCCAGAAAGAGAAGGCACCGGAGGGGGAUCAUUUGGAGCCUCAAUACUGGACAGAACCCUAGAAGGAGGAGGCAUCAGAGGUUGAUCAUUCGGAGCUUCAUUACGCGGUACAGCCCCAGAAGACGAAGGCAAUAAAUGCCUUUGGAACAAACCCACAAAUCUCUGAUGAUCAAGUAAAACCUGACCAUCAGUUUCCUUCAUCUGGUCAAGCUUCCUCUUCAUGUUUGUAGCAUAGUCAUGUGCGAGCCGGUGCAACUGUUUAUUCUCAUGCUUGAGCCCUCUAAUCUCCUGUUUGAGACUCAUCACUUCAGCCGCCAAGGAUUCAACUUGGCGGGUUCGAGCAAAUAGGCGUUGGGCCAUAUUAGACACAGAACCUGCACACUGAACACUGAGAGCCAGCGAAUCCUUAACAGCUAACUCAUCAGACCGUUUGGAAAGUAGUCUGUUAUCUUUGGGAGUGAGAAGGUUCCUGGCCACCACCGCAGCGGACAUAUCAUUCUUCAUCACGGAAUCCCCAACGGUAAGAGGACCAGUAGGAGAGACGAAGGAUGGGCGCCAUAUGUUGUCUGGAGAAGGCGGGGCUGCCUCUUCAACAAGGUUCAAGUCAAAACGACGGUCGGAGGGGCCAGACAUUUUCAAAGGUGUUGAAGAUAGAAGAGGUCGGACAAAUCAAGAUCUUAGAAGUGCAAGAAUGAAGCUUCUACUGGUGGAGAUUCAAGUGUGCUUUGGAACUUAAUGUCAGCCUCUAUAAAAAUCUGCACUCGACGGAGCUUCGGAAAUCGAAGAGGCGCCUGCUCAGAAAUCGAAGAGGCGUUUGCUUUCUCAAAAGCUGGGCUGCUUAGAGAUCACGAGGGUUGAUCUCAGAAAUCGAAGAGGCGUUUGCUUUCUCAAAAGUUGGGCUGCUCAAAGACCACGAAGGCCGAUCUCAGAAAUCGAAGAGGCGCUCGCUUUCUCAAAAGCUGGGCUCCCCAGAGACCACGAGGGCCGAUCUCAGAAAUCGAAGAGGCACCUACUUUUCCAGCCUUGUCAGCACCCGUCACACGCACACUCAGCUUUGCAGAAAUUAUGGGCAUUCUGUCGAAGACUUCUGGGGAAGUAGAAAACACAUGAAUCUUACUGUUCAAUCACCCACUUCCCACACGCAACAAUAGCUCAUGGGUACCACAGAUAACUUUGCCAAAGUUCUCUGCCAAAGUUGAGCACGUGAAGCUUGCAGCUCCCACUACAUCGCUCUGACCAAGAAAGGUAAAAGAAUAGCAAAGAAACAGCACUAACAAAGUUUAGACACAUAAAUUUUGAAGGUCUAGCUACCAUAUUAUUACCCACAAGGGUAAAGGAACAGUACCACUGCUGGAUAAUUGGAAAGUCCCUGUGUGUCAACCUCUGUGCUUCGUGGCAAUGUAGACUAGCAAACAUGCCCAACCUUUACUCACUUUCGAGAAAACACUCCCAACAAGAUUGCUUGCUCCAAAAUCGAAGAGGCACCGUCCUCCGAAUCUCGAGAGCCAGACUCCCAACAUGACUACUUUCUCAAAAGCGAAGAGAGGGUAAAGGAACAGUACCAUUGCUGGAUAAUUGGAAAGUCUCUGUGUGUCAACCUUUGUGCUUCGUGGCAAGGUAGACUAGCAAACAUGCCCAACCUUUACUCACAUUCGAGACAACACUCCCAACUGGAUUGCUUGCUCCAAAAUCGAAGAGGCACCGCUCUCCGAAUCUCGAGAGCCAGACUUCCAACAUGAUUACUUCCUCAAAAAUCGAAGAGACACUGCUCUACGAAUCUCGAGAGCCAGACCCCCAGCAUGAUUGCUUUCUCAAAAAUCGAAGAGGCAUCGUUCUCCGAAUCUCGAGAGCCAGAUACCACAGACCACUUUUUCAAAGUGCUCUGACAGAGUUAAAACAUGUGAAACUGGCAGCUCCCACUACCGUGCUAUGACCAAGCAGGGUAAAGGAAUAGCAUUACUACUUGUUGUUAGGGAGACUCCUAUAUAUGUCGACCUCCAUCCCCAACGGACAGGCAGACCUGCAAAAAUGCUCAACCCUUCAUCAUAUCUGAGAGGGCACUCCCAACGAAGCCUUUCGAAAUAUUCAGCUUUCUUUCCCCCCGAUAAUACCUCUGCAAACAAGCUAUACUAGAGCAAGAAUAUCUCAUAUCAUCAGGGUUAAAAGCAAGAGUAUCCCAUAUCAUGCUUUUUCCCUGUCUUUUCCUUUGGCCUUGUUUUUACCUGCAAGACAAGGAGAAAGAGAGCAAUCAGUCAGCACUUGGAUCAAGCUUCCAGCCAAGAACUGACUGCCUGGAACCCCUUACCUGAUUACUUACCUGGCAUUGCUCUCGAGUACUCAUCUUCAACAUCUUAUGUUUCCAGGGAAGAUUCCGCAUCUACUUGAGGAACAGAUAGGGCAAGUGCGAAGGAUACAAGGAAGCAUGUGGAGACAAGCGUAACAGCACACGUGCCGAUACACCCAUUACUCUGUCAAAAGCAAAAGUAUCCCAUAUCAGCAGGGUGGAACGUACUCUAGAUUUGAUGGACUUGUUUUGACCCUCAAAUUCUUCAGUCGGCCUUAUACUCUGGAGGAAACCAGAAAACCCUCCAGCUCAGUUCAAGAAUAAGCCUGUGGAAAGUUACUUCUUCAAAAGCAAAAGUAUCUCAUAUCAUCUCUUCUCAUUUUUCUUCUUUUUAUCCUUCAUGCUGCUGCAAGAUGGGGAGAAGGUGAACAAUCAGUCGGAGCUCUGAUUGCUUACCUUGUCUGUCACCUCUUUCAGCAGACCCCCUAGCUCGGCGACUUGGGAGACUCCUACUACAUGGUUUGUAUCGCGCUUGACCAAGCCUGAGACUACAAGUAAGCUUCAAGUGAAAUUGAUACAUUACCUUGUGCAUCUCCACCAGUUAAAGAUACCACCCCUGGAUGGAGGAAGAGUACUUCCAGAGAAGAUGCCACAUCUACCUAUGAGACAGAUAAGGCAAGUCAAGACGACAUCACACUCCGAUACUUAGAAGUUUCGUGAUUACGAGAUCAUUCUCCCACAAUAUUUCCUAAUGUCAUUUGUACUAAAUCAUUCACUUGUACUCACUAAAGGAAAGCUUGAACCUAUGUACUUGUGUAAACCCUUCACAAUUAAUGAGAACUCUUCUAUUCCGUGGACGUAGCCAAUCUGGGUGAACCACGUACAUCUUGUGUUUGCUUUCCUAUCUCUAUCCAUUUAUAUACUUAUCCACACUAAUGACCGGAGCAAUCUAGCGAAGAUCACAAAAAGCGACCGUUUUCGCUACCUAGGAUCUAUCUUGCAAGAGAACGGAGAAUUAGAUGGAGAUCUCAACCAUAGAAUACGAGCUGGAUGGAUGAAGUGUAAGAGUGCAUCUGGCAUGUUGUGUGACCGUCGUAGGUCACUGAAGCUCAAGGGAAAAUUUUAUAGGACGGCAAUAAGGCCAGCGAUGUUGUAUGGCACAGAAUGUUGGGCGGUGAAGCAUCAACACGUACACAAAAUGGGUGUAGCGGAGAUGAGGAUGCUUCGUGGGAUGUGUGGGCACACGAGAAAGGAUAAGAUUGGGAAUGAGGAUAUCCGAGGUAAAGUAGGAGUAGCCGAAAUUGUAGGAAAGAUGAGAGAAAAUCGGCUCCGAUGAUUUGGACAUGUGCAAAGAAGGCCGACUGACGCUCCGGUUCGAAGAUGUGACUACGGGACAGAGGUUCAGGGCCAAAGGGGUAGAGGAAGACCUAGGAAAACUUUGGAAGAGACUCUAAGAAAAGACUUAGAGUACUUGGAUCUAACGGAGGACAUGACACAAAACCGAGCGCAAUGGCGUUCUAGGAUUCAUAUAGCCGACCCCACUUAGUGGGAAAAGGCUUUGUUGUUGUUGUUGUUGUUGUUGUUGUUAAGCAAACUUGAUCUUUUCCUGGUGUAGCUCAUUGGUUUUGCAAUCGGAGUCAUCCCUCAGAUUCGAAAAUUACUUUUAGGAGAUGGUGCUCCUCUACGGGUGAUUCAAGAUACUGCUAAUUUGUUGGGGUAUAAAACUUAUGCCCGAACUGUAUCGAACCUUAAUGUUUUAUCCAUGAUCGACGCAAUUAUUGGCAACUAAUAUAGCUUCCCGUUCUUAAUACAGUUACAUGCUAGGGAAGAUACUAACCAUGCUUGGUCCUAUAGUUGUACAUAUCCAAAUGAACAAUUUGGUUCUCAAUUAGCAUAAAAGUAGAAUAAUUGUCUCGUGUUAAUCCCAACUUUACAAAACAUAUUCAGACCAGAUGGUUUUUGAAUUUCGGCUCAAAAGACGAGUGUGUUUUUUUAUACGAAGUGUUUGUAUCAUUUUUGUUGUUCACUUGGUAUCAGUUAAAGAGACUUGUUCUUUAUGAUUGCAGAGACGGAGCCAUCCCAUCUCUCAUUUUGAUAAUAGGAGGAAACCUACUUAAAGGUAAUAACUCGUACAAAUUCUAUUAGUGUCGUACUUAAUUGUUGGUUUAGUUCAGAACUUACUUCACAUUGUUGUUUCAGGCUUGCGAGGGUCAGGGAUUCAGAAAUCUCUUGUCGUUGGCAUCAUAGUUGUUCGUUAUGUUGCCCUGCCUCUUAUAGGCGUCUUGGUUGUUAAAGGGGCACUGAAAUUGGGUUGGUGCACUCUGAUCCAUUAUAUCUGUUUGUUCUUCUGCUUCAGUUUUCACUCCCACCUGCGAUGAACAUAGGUACGCUUGCUCUUCGACUGUUUGGCAACAAAAAGUGCAAUCAGAAGUUGCUCGCUCGCUCGCUCACACUUUUUCAUAACUAAUGUAAGUUUAUUCUCAAGUAUUGUUUAUUGAUCCUUUAAAAUAUGGCAGGAAUAAUGACGCUAUUAUUUGAAGCUGGAGAGAAUGAAUGUUCAGUUAUCAUGCUGUGGACUUAUGCUUUCGCUUCACUGUCAAUUACAUUCUGGUCCGCCGCCUUCAUGUGGCUUGUCGCGCGACUGUGAAUCAAAAUUUUACAUUGAAUUCUGUCUAAUUAAUACAAGAGUAGGCAAUUUGUCAGAAGAAAUAUUACGAAGCUCCACCCCGAGUCUGCAGGGAAGUACGAAGCUCUCAGUUCAGUUCCUCCCCGUCAUUGGAUUGAACAUGCAGAGCCACGGUUUGACUCCACAGCCCACCUAGAUGACGAAUCUAGUGGUUUGUGGCUAUGAUUUGGUCGAAGUAAAAAUGGUGGUGACUUUUCUUGGUGGUUUAGAGAGAAGGCAGAGAGAGAGCUCGAGUGUUAAGAACUCAAGAGAGAGUGUGUCUCGGUGUACAACGAGGGAAGGAGAUGGGAGUGACCGAGAGUUGGGAUUAAAACCCACUUAAAAUUUCCCUCUACAUAACAAAAACCAGUAGAGCCUUAAAUUACCAGAAAAGUGAUUAAUUCAUGUUGGAAUUUUUGGAUCGUCGGGGCCGCCCCACUCUAACGACACUGAUAUUAUCCCCAACUUAAUCAUUUGCCCAAUCCGUCAAGUGUGGGAUUUUACCACAAAAAACUUCGAUGUUAGUUAAAGUAGAGUAAUACUAUUUAAGUGAUUAAUUCUUGUUGAAAUUUUUGAAUCGUCGGGGCCGCCCCACCCUAACGACACUAAUAUUAUCUCCAACUUAAUCACUUGCCCAAUCCGUCAAGUAUGAGAUUUUACCAUAAAAAACCUCGAUGUUAGUUAAAAUAGAGUAAUACUAUUUAAACCUCUUUGGUUUAUUAGUUAGAGUGAGGUAAUUCUAUUUAAACUCUUUGGUUUUUCUUGCACCAUACCAAGUUGGAAUUUUUGGAUCGUCAGCCUGCUCCACUCUAAUGACACCGAUAUUAUCCUCAACUUAACAACUGCCUAAUCCGUCAUGAGAUUUUAGCAUAAAAACGAGUGGGGUAAUAAUAUUUAAACCUCUUUGGUUUUCCUUGCACCCACGAUGUGGGACUUUAACGAUUCAUGAAUUAAAAUUACUCAAAACUACAAUUUCAAGCCACUACAUUGCUACAAGCUUCAAAAAACCAGAAGAAAAAAAAAGGUAAAAUAAACAUCAAAAACCACUUCUAACCAAUAUAAUCACAGGUUGAAUGUUUCAACAACGCUAAAACACAGUAGGAUUAUAAAACAACAAUAUUUUUCAUAUAUUAAAAAAAAAAACAACUAUUAUUUAUUUAUUAAUUCCUAGCUCAACAAAAACUAAACUUUCGGGAAAAUGCAGAGUAAAAUAUAGGAAAGCUAACCUUUUGGCGCUUAGCUCUGGGUUCAUGAUCAAGCUUGGACCCUGGACCUUUGGAAGCCAUGGCUUCGGGUCGUCUGAUCCAGAAAACCAGUGGAUCUGGACAGUACGAUCAACGCCAGUGUGCUCUCUUCCCUUCCUGUAUCUCUCUCUCUCUUGCUCUUUUCUCUUUUCUUUUUGUGUUUUGUUUGUCUGUGACUGAGGACGCCCACCAACCUCUGAUGAAG